rnacentral:lncRNA from 1 species
UAAGCAAAGCAAUUUAGCACAAGAUAAAUUAGGUAAGAGGUUCCUACGGAGUACCGUAGACGCUUAGGGUGCUAACACCUUCCCUUCGCGUAACCAACCCCCGAAUCCAAAGUCUUGAGGGUUUUUACUCAUUUUUCCCUUCCCACGAAUAAAAAUCGAGAGUUCAAAGAUUGACGAUUCAAAUCAAUUAAUGGUUUGAUAUCCGAAAAUCACGAGCACAUAGUUGAUGAAUCAUUGCUUGGGUAUGCAUAUUCAUGAAUUGAUUAUGAGAAUUUGAAUUGUUGUUGGUGUUUUUUGUAAAUGGGUUGAUUUGGUGAAUUGGCUAAAAGUGAGAUUGAUUUUCAUGUUCAAUGUGUUUUUGAGUAUCCUUGUGAGUUAUAUGACCUAUAAACAUUCUUUGGAAACAUGUUUAGGCAUUGGGAGAUCAAAAUUGGGAGUUUUGGGUGAAAAAUGGGUGAAACCCGUAACUUUUGUUAUGCAGAAUUUUGAAUGGUCGCUUAAGCGACGCUAGUUGCUGUCUGAUGAAUGCACGCUUAAGCGUGCUGUAAGCGAGAUGGUAAGCGUGCAGUCACAGUAGCUACUAGAAGUUGGACGCUUAAGCGUGCUGGUGGACGCUUAAGCGUGCAGAACUUUUUCCAACACUUUUAAAACUUUGUUCCGAGCUUCCGAGGGCCAAUCCGAACUUCUUAAAACAGUUCUUUUAACUUAUAUAAUCACUGUUUGUACAAUUAAUCCUACUGGAACACUUCCUUGGACAAGAAUUGAACUUGGUUUAUGUAAUUGAAUUUCCACUUUGAAAAUUGUCAAGAACGUUGAUUGUUCCGAAAUUUGAAAUUCAAGGAAAUGGAAUGGGAGUAAAGUAGUGUAGUGAUUGUAUGAUAAAUGAAAAUGAUUGAGAUUGGUUUCCUUGAGUUUUAUUUGGUUUUGGUUUUGAAAAUGGAAGAUUCUUGUAAAAUGUUAAAGAGAGACGAACAUUGAUGAAAAUAUCCUUUUAAGCCAAUCACCUUAUAAAUCUUUCAUAUUUAGUUUUGUAUGACUAUAUGGAAGUAUUUGAUGGUUAGUUGAGUAUUGAAUGUGAUGUUUAUCUUAAGGUGAUGUAUUUUCCUCUUGACUUGAAAAGUAGGCAAAUCAUGUAUUUGAUGUGAAAUUAUGUGAAGGUGAUGAUAUUGGUGAAUCCAUAUAUAUUGUUUAUUAUGAUAUGGUGGGUGAAUAUAUAUGUUGUUGUGAAUGUGUUGAUGGUUUAAGAAAUAUUUUGGGCGGAGUUGAAUCGGAGAAAACGGGUAUUGAGCUAAAUGUGGUUUUGUCUUAGGUUUUCUCAUACAAACUUAAGCUAUCCUUUGAACUAAUUUCUAAUAGUUUGUAAGUGGCUUAUGUUCUUGACUACAUGAUUGAUUAAGAUUGAAUUGUAGGAUUUCAAACUUAAAUAAGUUGUCUAGCUUUAAAAAUUGUCAAUGUUGGCCGUUUGCCACAUGUUUUGGAUUUUUGUUGGAAAUGUUUCUUAAGCAAAUUGUCUUGUGAGUUAUUGAGAUUAUUCUUGUAUGACUAAGUGAAGUUGUAUGAAUGAAUGAUUGUAUUGAAUAUGAUGUUUAUCAUGAGAUGUGUAUGCUAUCUUACUUAGAAUGUAAGGAACGCUUGAAUGGUGAAACUAUAUGUGAUAGUUGAUGUUGAAUGGUUAUAUGUUGGAUAUGAUAUUUGUCACGAGAUGUUGUAUGUUCUUUUACUUGGGAUAUGAGAAUUGUUUGGAGUGGUGAAACUAUAUGAUAUAGUUGAUGUUGAAUGACAUUGUUGAUUAUUGAUAAUCAUGUUGAUGUGUGAUGGUGAAUACUAUGAUUUAUUUGUGUGGGCAUGUUUUCUUGAUAAUGCAAUGUUGUGGAGAUAAUCAAUAUAAUUGGGUGUCGUCCUAUAUAUUGAGUUGAGAUUGUGAAUUGUUGUCGCAUUAUCGAGUUCUUACCAUGUCCAUGCAUCAUAGUCGUUGUUGCUGUAAAAGGGAUGACUCUUUUACUUCGAGAUUAUUGUAAGGCAGAGGUGAGCCUUACAUGCGAUGUUGACUUGUCCAUCGGAGGUGACGACCUUGUUGAGAUUUGGUACCACAUGCAUUUAUGUGUCCAUAAGUGCAUAUCAUAGCAUGAGUCUUAUGUGAAGUAUGUGAUUGGUGAUGAAUUGAGAUGAAUGAUUAUUGAUGAUGUUUGUGAUUGACGAUUGUGAAUGAAUAUUUGUGAAUUGAUAAUUGUUCAUGAAAUAUGAUUAAUGAUUGUGCAUGACUUAUGAUUGGUGAUUGUUCAUGAUGUAUAUGAUCGGUGAUUGUUCAUGAUGUAUAUGAUCGGUGAUUGUGUAUGAAUAACUGUGAAUUGAUAUUUAUUUAUGAUACAAGUAAUUGGUGAUUGUUCAUGAAAUGUGAUCAAUGAUUAUUCAUGAUAAAUGUGAUUGGUGAUUGUGAUUGAAUAAUUGUAAAUUGAUAAUUGUUCAUAUGAUUGAUGAAUAUUGAUGCGAGAUAUCGGGGUUUGAUGUAAGUAUUGAUGUGGGAAUAUUAUUAUUGAUCAAGUGAAUGAUGUUUAAAUUGAAAUAUUCAUGUUAUCUGUUAUUUGGAUUAUGAUAAUGUAAUACUUACCCACACUGGAUCUGUUAUGGACCGCCUGCCUAUCUGUAUGGAUGGGUAGACGUUGUGCAGGAUUAGAUGCUUGGUGAGUUCUUGUGCUUGGUGGAUAUCUGGAGCUUUCUCCGAUAUCGGUGUUUAGAUGUUUAGUCGGCUCUGAUCUAGACUUAGUUGUGUCAGUCUAGAUUAUCUUUUACUUUGGUUUUUGUUAUGUUUGGAGAUUACCCGUUUGUUGAGAUUUUUGAGAUGCAUCUAUGUUGAUGUAAUUUAUUUAUUCUUAACAUGUAUAUUUGAAUUUACUCUGGUUUAUAUUCCGCUGCGACUGUUGAGGUUUAUAUACAUGUUUAUUGGUUUUUGAAUUUUGAAUGUGGCGUAGCCUCUAUUUCUUGAAUAAAUGUAUUAUUCGCAUGUUUAAUUGCUUUAAUAGAAGUAGGGUGUUACAGGUUGUAAGCUUCAAUGAUGAUCAUACGUGCCGUUAGACACCUAGAAAUAGAAACAGACAAGCCAAGCCAAAUUUGCUUGCUAAAUUUUUUUUGAGUACACUCCGACAUUCUCCUGAAAUGAAAGUGAAAGCGUUGAAGAGGUUGGCUGCUGAGCAAUGGAGUGUGAAGUUGUCACAUGAUCAAGUAUAUAGAGCCAAGUUAAGGGCACUAGAAAUCAUUCAAGGAGCCGGUCGUGACCAAUUCUUAUAUCUAAGGGUGAGAAGGUCCAAUCCCAAUAGUACUGUUAUUAUUAAGUGUGAUAUGGAUGAUGUGGGUCCUAUUUUCCAGAAACAAAAGAUUCAUGGGAGUGGUUUCUGAAUCUAUUACUUGAAGAUCUACAAACUAUACAACACAAACAAUAUGCAUUCAUCUCAAAUGAGCUGAAGGUGUAUAACUUACAUGUGUCAUUGUUAAUAUUUUAAUAUGCAUAAUGUUCUCUAUUUUUUUGUAAUAUUUGUUUACCAUUGGUAAUUAUCUUAGGGUUUGGUUCCGGCAAUUCAAAACCUUGGUAGUCAUGUAGAGCAUAGGCUAUGUGUGAAGCAACUUUAUGCUAAUUUUAAGAAAAGAUAUCCUGGAUUGGAUUUAAAGGAAGUGUUUUGGAUGGCAGCAAGGGCUACAACUGUUCCAGCAUGGGAGAGAGCAAUGAAUUGAAUGAAAUUAAUUAACGACAAAGCUUGGGAAUACAUGAAUAAGAAUUGGGCACCUGCAAUGUGGACUAGAUCUCAUUUCAAGAUGGAUACACAAUCAAACUUACAAGUUAACAACAUGUGUGUGAGGCAUUUAACCGGGCAAUAUUGGAGUAUAGAGAUAAACACAUCAUCACUCUUUUAAAGAAUAGUUUUUUAAUUUAGAAUGUUUUGAUGAAAGUGCAAAAUUAGUUUUACACUAUCAUCUAAUAAGGCAACUCUAUUUGGUAAAAAAAAAAAAUUAUAGAUAAUUGAAAAGUUAAUUUUAUAAUUAAUGGGUUUAUAGGGAAUAAUUUAAAAGCUACAUUACUAACGAUCACUUAAUUGUUUUUCGUAAAUUAUUGCUACUAAAAAAAUCCGAUGUUUUGCUCUCUUAAGAUUAAGGUUUCAUUUCUUCCUUAUUGAAUCACCUUCUUGCGGAGAUCCGAUCAUAUUCCUUCUGAGUGUUUGUGCUUAUAUGGUUUUUAGAUAAACUUAGAUGUUUCCAACCAUGCCUAUAUAUGCAGACCCCAAUGGAUAGUUUUUUCAUUCUCAUAAAAACCUAAUCAUGUUUGCUUUCUUUUCCAUGAUCUUACUGCUUUAAUAACAUUUCUAUUCAUGCUUGCCUUUUCAUCAUCGUUACCAUGUUUGUUUCUAAACUCAACCUUGAAGGCUUAACCUUGACAGAUGAAGGCUUAACCAUAAACCUUGAUUUCAUUUCUACUGAUACCUAAAUCCUUGACCAUUGUCUUAUUGGCCGGUUGUUGUCUAAGAAAGAGGUCAUGUUUUUGUACUCAAGGGGCUGAUGUAGUCGACUUUCUGUUUCAAUUCCACCAUCGUCUUGAUGAUGCAAAAGUUAUCAAUGGAGGACCUUGGGUUUAUGAUAACUUUAACAUGGUGAUUGAAAUGUACUGCACUGCACAUGACGUGGUUUCGACGAGUGUGAAUUUGAACACAUGGAUAUGGUUCAGGUUCAUCAGUCAUCGUUUGGUCUCAUUCAAUCUAGAGUAGGAAACAGUAUUGGGAAGUUUCUUGGAUAACUUAAAGAAUUUGAUGCUCGAAAUAUUGUGCAUAGCUCCUCUAUGCGGCUGAAGGUUCGUAUAGAUGUUGCGACGCCCUUGAGACAAGAAUGGCAUGUGCAUGAUGGAACCUAUGUUAAUAUAUGGUUCAAAUACGAGAAAAGUUAGGUGUGUUUUUUUGAAUUCUGCUCUCCACCCAGCAUAUUUUGCUCGCUCCCUGCGGCCGUUCCAAAUUUACCCUUGCGCUAGUUAACUAACGCAAGUGAAAAACUAUGCGUUAGUUAACUAACGCUGCACAAGUUAAGAUGCAUAGUGUUAACACUGACCGACCUAUAAGUGUCCUAACCCAUAAUAACAUAUCUAAGAGGUCUAGUGAAAUUCCUAAAUUGUCGUCUUCUUCCAUGUCUUCUGUCCAUUCAAGAUCUUCAAUUUUACCAAUUCAAGCUUGAAUUGGAAUUUGGACUUUAAACGGUUUCAAAUUAACGGUUGGUUUGACAUCGCCGAAACCUUCACUGGAAGCUUCAUUUUUGGCCGGUUUCGGUUCAACGUCAUCAUCCGCGACAUUGUCAACCAUCUCACUAUAUAUCUAUUGAAUAAAAUUUUUUUACAAAGGAAGAAUAAAUAAAUUACUUGUGGAACAAGCUAACCAAGAACAAAAGUGGCGCAAAAAAUUCAGAAACAUGAUUGUGCACAGUAGCGUGACUUAAGUCACGCACCCUUUACCACUUGCGCAAGUUAACUUGCGCACCUAGCCCUAUUGCCUACCGAAACCAGACGAACCAAGCACAAAAACCAGCAAAAUGAGAUGAGUUUUGAUGAUAUAAUACCUGAUAUUUGGUGCUUGAUGAGCGUAGAAACUUGCUUUCUGACGAUUUGCAAUGAUUUGGGAUGAGGAUAUUGACCUAAAAAAUUGCACUUUUUGGGUUUUUGAAGGUGGAGGGAAAGAAAAUGGUGCUUGGAGUUUGGACUAAUGGGUUUUGUACGAAAACAGUAACACUGCGUCACUUAACAUGGGAUGCGUGAGUUAAGUUACGCAGCUUUAUUUAAGGUGCACAAGGGUAAAUUUGGAACUGCUGCAUGGCGCGAGCAAAAUGUGCAGGGUGGAGAGCAGGAUUUUGUUUUUUAUUUUAUUUUAUAUGUGUGGUGUUUUGGGCCAUACAGAUAAACGUUGUGCAUAACUGUAUGAAAUGGAGGAAGAUGAUGGCUCGAGAGGAUGGGGAGAGAUGUUGCAUCCACUUUCUGGGCGUAUGGAACAGUUGCGACUAUUAUGUGAUUGUAGGACCAUAUUAAUUCAAUGAGACCAAGGGAAAUGACAUUGAAUGACGUCGGACAGAAUAUUGCAAGUAACGUAAAUUCUGUUACUAUGUCCUCCUCAAUUGUUUCGUUGGACGAAUGUAUCACUGUUGUUCAACAAGAAAUCAACGAUAUCAAGUCACGUGUUUGCACUGCUUGAUGAACGAAAUUGGCAAGUGCACCAAAAUCGUAACACAUAAUAAAGUAGUUAGUUUAUCGUUCUCCAUAGGGAUUAUCGUUCAACUUAAAAAGAGAUUAAGGACAGCUUAUAGAUUUUCUAAAAAGUUAUCCUUAGAUGACGAGGCUGCUAAAGCACCUGCAAUACUUACUAUUUAAUUGAGAAGUUUACACGUGUCAGGAUCUGCAACCUACAAAUAUUUUGGAUUAGUUUUGAACCAUAUGUAGACACUUUCUUUGGUUUCUUUUGAGGUAUCAACACGGGGCCACCACUUAACAAAAGCUUGUUUUUGUAGCAUUGGUAAAACAUUUGGUUUGAGCUUAGCCCAUAUUUGUAUUGCCAUGAAAAUAUCCAUGUUAAAGAGAAUUUGGCGAAGAAGUUUAGUUCAAUUGGAAGAUUGUCAAGAUCUUUCUUGAACCUUUUAUUAAAAACUUGAAAUUCUUCUUGUACUUCGGAAGGAAAUAUUCGAUGAAUUGGUCCAAAGUAGUCCCGCCAAGGAACCAAUUUUGGUGGCUUUAUUUUGUUUCCAGAAGAUAUGUGUCCAAGCUCGGACAAAAUCCCAAUAAUUGUAGCUGAUGGGAUCAAAGACCUGAUAAUUUUUUUUUUUUUUUUUGGAUUUUGCCCAAACGAUGUGGGUGUGAGAAUUUAGAUAAUUGAGUGUGUAAUGUUUGACGCAUCUUUAUAAUGUUUGAUGGAAAUUGAGUCUGAAUCUACCAGGAUAAAUUCAUUAAAUUGUUGUGUUUUAGACGCUAAUGGUUGGUGAAGGAAUCCUGGUGGUAAAAUCUUUAAAUAGACCUUGUUUGGGUUUUAUCCCAAAAUUCAGGUUUCAUUUGGAUAACGGGUAGGAACUUGGACUUUGGAGUAUACUGAAACUAGGUAGUUUGGUUGGUAUUGAAUUGUGUUUGGCUAGUUCCUUCUUGAAUUUGAUUAGUUUGGGUUUUUGGAUUGAGCUGCAAGGCUUUAUUUUUUAGGUUUUUGACGAUGAGGUCUAAGGACACUUGUUCCUCUUCUUCAUCAGCAACAUCUACCUAAGUCUUGUUGGGGAGAGUAACUAAACCUUGUUCUUGAAAGGCUAAAAGAGUUUGGAUUGGGAUAACAUAGUCUGCUCUAGAUUUUUUUUAUGUUCCAAUGAAUGUUUUUUCAAAGGGGAUUUGAUUUUGGGCAGAUGACCUGAUUGAGGGAUUUUGGGUUAAUGCCCCAAUAGAUUGGUUUUGGGUGGAUGAUCCCGAUUGUCUUGUUUGUCUUGCUGUUAGUUCUACCAUGACUAAAUUUGUUGAAGUCAUACCUCCUAGAAAGGAGGUGGAUCUAGCCGCUUUUGGCAUCCUACUUUUUACUCUGUAAGUUUUCGCGAGUGAGACAGCUAAGGAGAUCAUUAUCUGAACCUUUGAGAUAUUCAAUUUCAAAAUAAAAAAAUUCUUAAAAUUGCUUGCCAUCUGGAAAAAAAAAUCUUUGAAGCUAGAUUUUUAACUUCCUUUAGUAAAAUAUCUUUUGCUGACUUACAACUAAAAACUUUUGGUUAAGUAAAUCAGAUUGAAAUUUUGAAAUAGAUAAAACUAUAGCUAAAACUUCUUUUUUAACUUUGGAAUAUUUUUGUCGUGCAGGAUUCCAAUCAUGGAAGUAUUAGCAAUAAUUUGUUCUUUACCUUUUAUAAUUUUGACAACAUUUGUAUGGACGUCAGUCCAAGGAGGAGGAUCCUUUUUAAGCCUAUCAUGGAGAGGUUUGAUGAUAUUACUUAGUUGGGGAAUUGUAUGGACAUCAUCAAUAUAAACUAUUGUAAACUUUAAAAAUGGAUUAAAAAUGUCAUUCAUUAUUCUCUGAAAUUUUGAAGGAGCAUUUUUUAGCCCAAAAGGCAUAAGAGUCCAUUUGUAUUGUCCAAAAGGAAAAUAGUAAAAGUUGUUUUGUAGCGAUCUUCUUCUUUGAUUUGGAUUUGCCAAAAUCCAGAUUUCUUAUUAAAUUUAGAGAAAAAAUUUGGUAGAUCUUUCUUAACUAAUGUGUGCAUAUUUCAAGAGUUAAAGACUUGAAUGGAAAAACAAAAAGAUAAAUACUUAAGUGUUAUAAAUAAAUAAGAUAAAUGACUUGCAAAGUAAUUUUUCCUUCUUAUUAUUAGAUCUUUAUUAUUUAUAACAUUUUGACAUAUUUUUGUCUACACUUAAAAAUAUUUGAUAAUAAUUUUUUUAAAGCAAUUAUUUCAAUGUUUUUAUCGAUACAUAUAAAUUAAGUAUUAACUUACAAUUUUUAUUUCACCGUAUUCAUUAGUGCAUAUAAAUUAAUUUUCAAUCUUUUAAAGAAACAAAAUUAAUUUUCAAAUAUUUAAUUUUACGCAUACAUAUUUGAAGGGACAUAGGAGUAUAUAACUUUUGGAAUCACCAAAAGACUAGGUAAAAUAUUUGAUUGGACCAAUACCAAUUUAGAGGCACAAGAUUUAAGACUCAUUCGUUCACGCAAACAAUUAGUAAUAACUAAUAGGCUUAAUUACCUUUCAUCCUCUAACUAUUUAAUUGAUAUUAAAUUAGUCCUCUAAUUAAAAAUUGAUUUAUUUCGAUUCUUUAAGUUUCUCACCGUUACUACAUUUAGUCAUUUCUGUUAGUUUUAUUCAAAUAAAGUUUAGGGUUUGUGUUAUGAAGGUACCUGAGCUCCUGUUUCACACAUACAUAUGAAUCAUAACAGUUAUCAAUAACAUCAGUCACUAUUUAAUCAUAAUACCUUAACAAAGCAUAGAAUUAAAAUGAUACUAAUAAAUAAUGUUAGAAGAUCCACAUAAUAUAAAUAAUUCUAACGUGAAACGACUGUUAUUUAGAGACGGUGGGACUAUUUUGAUAUAAUUUUGUGACGAAAGAAAGUUGAUGUAUUUCAUUCCAUAAUUAAAUAGAGGAAUAAACACAAUACACAAUGCACUUGUUUCGCGGGAAGGACGAUUAACAAACUAUCUUCUCCUUCCAUCCUUCCAUAACUGAAAAUCAAAUCCCGCUUUUCUCUCUCUCUCUCUCUCUUCCAUUUCUCGAUUCAAACCUUCUCUCUCUUUCUCUCUCUUCCUUUCAUCUCUCACAAUGCUAUGAAGAAUCCCAAUCCAUGUCUUCCAACCCUCCACCACCGGAAAAUGAUCCACCACCAGCGACAUCGUCGCCGGUAUCCGCUAAAUCCAGAACUCUUCAGAAAUUCCCUCCCAUUGUAAACCGACGCACCGCGACAUUAUCAUCAAACAAUGUAGACGACGAAUGCAAAGAAGAGAAUAAUAAGAACAAGAAUCAUGACAAUGAGGAGGAAAGUGAAGAAGAAGAAGAAGAAGAAGAAGAAGAAGAAGAAGACGUUCUUGUAACUGAACGUGAAUUCGAACGUGCUGAAUGUUCUUAUUCUUCUUCCAUUUUGCAAGCUUCGUCGUUAGGUCUUAAUCAAAUUCGAACGCGAUUCUCUUCGCCUCUUCGUCAUUCUUCUUCUGCUGGUGCUCCAUCUUUCCCUAUAAAAGAUGUUGUCAACAAUGUCGCUAAAUUUAGAUCUAGAGUUUCACAUCCUAAAGACCUAGGUAUAUAUACACAAGGAGGUUUUAUAUUGCAAUUGCGGUUAUGCUAGCUGCGAAAUUUUAUAUUGCGACAAAAUGUUCCGGUUGCAAUCUAAGAAUGCUGACACAGACAGGGCACCGAUACGUAGACACAAAUAUCUGAAAAAAAUGGAUUAAUUAAUCAUAAUCAUUUCUGUUGGUGUCGUGUCUGUGUCAGGUCAGAUACCAGACACGUCCUCUAUCAAAAGUGUCGAUGCUCUAAAGAUUGCAAUGUCAUUGCAAUGCCUCAAAUCAUUUAUGUUGGGGCUGUAAUUGAGGUUGCGGAAUACAAUUUAAAACCACGUUCUAGUUUUAGAUUCUAUAAUAAUAUGAACCAAAAAGUGAUUUUAGAUUUUAUUGUUAAAUCUACCUCAGAUGUAUCUUUAAUUUAAUUUAAUUUUGCAAUAAAUUGGUUAGUGAAAUAUUUCAUUGUUGUUCUUUUUUAGGGGAAAAAGUUCAUUGGAAUCAAUCCAAAUCGUUGAAAGCUCGUUCACAACUCCUCAUACUGGAGGUGAUAUGUUAUACUUUUGUUUUUAUAUAUAAUAUUCAGUAAAUAUAUGUAUAUAAGUUGUGUUCAAUGUCCAAGACGUGUCAAUGUCUGGACACAGACACAUGAUUACAUUCAAUUGUGCCAUAUUUUCUAAUUGUUAUUGUUGCGACGUGAUGUGACGUGUCGUGUCUAAUUGUUAUUGUUGCCGACAUGUCGUGUCUAAUUGUUAUUGUUACCGAUGUAUUGUGUUUGGUGUUCGAGAAGUGUCGGUGUCUGAUACCAAAACGACACCAACACAUGUGAUUACAUUCAAUUAUGUCAUAUUUUCUUUUUGUUAUUGUUGCCUACAUGUUGUGUCUAAUUGUUAUUGUUGUCAACGUGUCGUGUUUGCUGGUCAAGACGUGUCGUGUUUGGUGUUCAAGAAGUGUUGGUGUCUGAUACCAAAACGGCACCAACACAUGUGAUUACAUUCAAUUAUGGCAUAUUUUCUAUUUGUUAUUGUUGUCGACGUGUCUGGCGUCCGUGUACACAAAUGCUUCAAAAAUCUUUAUUCAAUUUCAGUGAGUAUGUGUGUGUUUAGUUUAGUAAUAUUUUGUGUGUGUGUGUGUGUGUUCAAUAGUUGGAGAAAUGUAGGUAGCUCAGGUUCAUGGCGUGUGUUUUUGUACAGGGAAAUCAUGCAGCUUAUGCCAAAGAUUUUCAAUCCCCACGUUAUCAGGAAAUUCUUCGACUUACAAGUGGUAAGAAAAGGAAAAACCGGCCUGAUAUUAAAAGCUUUUCCCAUGAACUUAACUCCAAAGGAGUUAGGCCUUUUCCAGUCUGGAAAAAUCGUGCCUUUGGGCAGGUACUCUUUUUGUUUCAAUUUCUUUAUCAUCAAUUUGAAACAUAAACAACCUAAUUAAGCGCUUACAGCAUAACAAAGCGCUUAUCAUGUAUGCGCUUAUGUAUACGCUAUUGAGCACCAGGAAAAUUCAAUAUUAUGAAUUCCAGGUUCAUUCCCCAAUCAAACUUUUCUUUUAAGCUAUAAGCUGUUUUCAUAACCUAUCCUGGAGAGCUUAUGGAAAUUAGCUAAACUUGACUUAUUGAAAUGUCAUAAGCGUUCCCAAACAGUCUCAGAAGUACAUAUGUGAUCAUUAGAUAAGCUCAAAUAAAUCUGUUUUAAAACACUAAAUUUGUUAAACUACCUUCUAUGGUUUUUCAAUGAAAUGAAUUGUUACAGGAAAUCAUGGAGGAGAUUAGAGCUAAGUUUGAAAAACUAAAGGAAGAAGUUGAUUCUGAUUUGGGUGGUUUUGCUGGUGAUUUGGUGGGUACUCUUGAAAAAAUACCUGGGUCUCAUCCUGAAUGGAAAGAGGGGUUGGAAGAUUUGUUGGUUGUUGCUCGACAAUGUGCAAAGAUGACAGCGGCUGAGUUUUGGAUCAACUGUGAAACUAUUGUUCAAAAACUAGAUGAUAAACGUCAAGAUAUACCGGUGGGGAUCCUCAAGCAAGCACAUACGCGCCUGUUGUUUAUUCUCUCUAGGUGCACUCGUCUAGUGCAAUUCCAGAAGGAAAGUGUUAAAGAACAAGAUCACAUUCUUGGUCUUCACCAACUCAGCGAUCUUGGAGUAUAUUCCGAGCAAAUUAUGAAGGCUGAAGAGAGUUGCGGUUUUCCACCCAGUGACCAUGAGAUGGCUGAGAAGCUGAUAAAAAAGUCACAUGGGAAAGAGCAAGACAAACCGAUUACAAAACAAAGUCAAGCUGAUCAACAUGCAAGUGUUGUGAUUGAUAAUGUGGAAGUUACUACGGCAAGUACUGAUUCGACUCCUGGAAGCAGCUAUAAGAUGGCUUCUUGGAGAAAGCUUCCAUCUGCUGCGGAGAAAAAUCGUGUAGGUCAAGAUGCAGUAAAAGAUGAAAAUGCUGAAAACUGGGAUACUUUGUCAUGUCACCCUGAUCAACAUUCACAGCCGUCAUCUAGAACGCGGAGGCCUUCUUGGGGAUAUUGGGGAGAUCAGCAAAAUCUAUUACAUGAUGAUUCAAUGAUCUGCAGGAUUUGUGAGGUUGAAAUACCAAUAUUACAUGUGGAGGAGCAUUCUCGAAUAUGUACAAUUGCUGAUAAAUGUGAUUUGAAAGGCUUAACUGUAAAUGAACGGCUUGAAAGAGUUGCCGAAACAAUUGAAAUGUUACUUGAUUCCUUGACACCAACAUCAAGUUUGCAUGAAGAGUUCAAUGAGUUAUCUCUAGAAAGAAAUAACAUGUCAUCUAGAUGCUCUGAAGAUAUGCUUGACCUUGCUCCUGACAAUACUUUUGUUGCGGAUGAUCUAAACCUUUCACGGGAAAUAUCAUGCGAGGCUCAUAGCUUAAAACCUGAUCAUGGCGCAAAGAUAUCUUCUCCUGAAAGCUUGACACCGCGAUCACCGUUGAUUACACCCAGAACAAGUCAGAUAGAAAUGUUACUAAGUGUAAGUGGAAGAAGACCAAUAUCUGAACUUGAGAGUUACGACCAGGUAUACACUUCCAUAUGGUUAUUCUUCAUAUUAAAUCAUAACACGCACAAAAAAAAGUACACUGCAUGAAAGCAUAUAUCAUUAACUUGUAUAUAUUAUAAUCCAUGAGAUUCAUCUCUGAAAUUUUUGUCUGAUUCAUUUUCUGAAUUUGCGACAUGCUACUAUACUAGUGAUACACUCUUUUGAAUACUCACUUGAACACAUUCUUUGUGAUUGGUCUUUUUUUUUUUUUAAAAUUCAAGAUGGUUUUCUCCUUAAUUGAUGACCUUUUAAAAAGUGUUCACUUUUGAAAAAAUGAAUGCAAGAGUGGGGGCUUCCAAUCGUCCAUUCCUCUCUGAACUUUUAUAUUGAUAAUUAGACCGUCAAAUGACAGAUAAACAAGCUAGUUGAAAUAGCUCGUGCUGUUGCAAAUGCGAACAGCUGUGACGAAAGUGCUUUCCAGGAUAUCGUUGAUUGCGUGGAAGACCUGAGAUGCGUAAUUCAGAACAGAAAAGAGGAUGCACUUAUUGUGGAUACUUUCGGUCGACGAAUAGAGAAACUUUUGCAGUAAGCAUUUGUCACUUUUUCAUCUGGUUUCAGGACAACCAUGUAUUUUGGUGAUUUUUAGGAUCGAUAAGAUUUUUCCAGAUAUUUUCUAAAACCACUAAUGUCAAUAUUAGACACAGGGUCAGCCCAAGGGUCAAGCGACCCAAGUCAGAGCUUUAGGCCUCAAAAUUUUGGGCUAAUAAAAUGCCUCGAAAAAAUUUAAUAUAGUUAUAAACAUAUAAUAUGGCAAACUAAUUAUAGAUGUUUGUCUAGCUCAGUUAGGCAAGAUCAAGGCCUCAAAUCCUCUCGGUCAAACUUGAUAUUAUUGUUCUUUUUAUAAGCAUUGUGUUUAUUUAUUUAAAUUUUAAAAGGCCUGAUCAUAAAUUUGCUUUAGGCCUCUUAACACAUUGGGCCGGCCCUGAUUAGGUAGUAUAAACAGAAAAUUGUGUUCCCAUUUUUUGAGAUUUUUUUCUUUUACUGCUAUCAUAAUAAUGCUUGAAAUCUUCUGCACCAUGUAGAGAAAAAUAUUUAACUCUUUGUGAGCAAAUACACGAUGAAAGGGCAGAAUCAUCAAAUAGCAUGGCUGAUGAAGAGAGUUCAGUGGAUGAUGAUACAAUCCGUAGCCUUCGUGCUAGCCCAAUUAAUGGUUUUUCUAAGGACAGAACCUCUAUUGAAGAUUUUGAAAUAAUAAAACCAAUAAGCAGAGGUGCGUUUGGACGAGUUUUUCUUGCCCAGAAAAGAUCGACUGGUGAUUUAUUUGCUAUUAAGGUAAGCUUCCUUAAACCGAAAUGAAUCAAAUAAUUACUUUGCAGAAACAAAGCUAGAGAGAUUGAUUUAGCGAACUAUGUUAUUAAACAGUGCGUACAAAAAGCAUGUAUCUAUUCCUGAAGUUGUAAAAUAAAACUAGUAUUAUUCAGUCCAGCAAUGGUGUUAUAGCUUAUAGAAACCAUUAGUAUAGAAAGUCUUGUCAAAUUAACUAACUGAAUAAUUAGAAAACGUUUAAACUAUUCUUUGAUAUUUUUGUAGGUUCUGAAAAAGGCAGAUAUGAUUCGUAAAAAUGCAGUUGAAGGUAUUUUGGCUGAGCGAGACAUUCUUAUAUCUGUUCGAAACCCUUUUGUGGUAAGCAGGCCAUACCAUGUCAUUCAUUACUUCAUUUAUGAAGUUGAUGUUCGUUGUUAACAAAUCUAAUUUUCAUGUAUCUGUGACAAACAGGUCCGAUUUUACUAUUCUUUCACAUGUAAAGAAAAUCUGUAUUUGGUUAUGGAGUACUUAAAUGGUGGAGAUCUCUAUUCUAUGUUGAGAAACUUAGGUUGCUUAGAUGAAGAUAUGGCUCGUGUAUAUAUUGCAGAAGUUGUAAGCAUACUGGCUUUUGUAGUUUGUUGGUUCAAUUUUUUUUUGUUUUGUUUAUCGUAAUGUUUUCAUUUUUUGUCGCUCCACAGGUUCUUGCGUUGGAGUAUUUGCAUUCGCAAAGCAUAGUUCACAGAGACUUAAAGCCAGAUAACUUACUGAUCGGACAAGAUGGUCAUAUUAAGGUUAGUACAUGGAUUCGAUUCUCUUACAUACUUGUCCCUUCCUCGUCACUUUUUGUAAAUGUUUAAUCCUUGUUAUUACAGUUGACAGACUUUGGACUCUCAAAAGUUGGUCUCAUCAACAGCACGGAGGAUUUAUCAGCACCCGCAUCUUUCACUAAUGGUUUUUUAGUCGAUGAUGAACCAAAACCUCGACAUGUUUCAAAAAGGGAGGCACGUCAACAACAAUCAAUAGUUGGCACUCCAGAUUAUUUGGCACCCGAAAUACUUUUGGGCAUGGGACAUGGUCUGUAGUAACAUCUUAUCAAAAAUAAAUAACUAAAUUUAGUUUUUCGUUCUAAUUUCUUUUAAUUUUCAAUACAUUCUUAUAUACGUUUGCACUUCUGUAGGUACAACUGCAGAUUGGUGGUCUGUGGGUGUCAUACUUUACGAGCUUCUUGUGGGUAUUCCACCUUUUAAUGCAGAUCAUGCACAGGUAUGUGAAUUUUUAGCCUUUAUGUUUCUUCUCUAUUUCUUUUCCUUUACUCUUUUUUUACUGUUGACGGUAAACAAAUUCGUUCAAAUGCGAAAUCAAUGUUUAUUACAAACUAUUAGGGGCAAUCCCAAUCCAAGUUGCAGAGUCGAUUCUAACGAUUAAUGUUAGUAUUUUCACGUGUGAGUAAGAAUCUCACAUUGGAUGAUAAAGUGGAUGUUCAGCCACAAAGGCUCCACACACAUUGUGUUUUCCAAUCAUCCAAAACUUUUUUGUGGCUUUUUUUUUGAAACGUCUCUAGCGAAGACUUAUGUUUAAUAACAUCCCACACGGAAAAGAGUCUACAGAGGCACCGAGAAGUAAGAACAACAUAUUUAUGUUUAAAAUAUAAUCAUGGUGGUUUGGCCUAGAGGUUCUCAAACUUGCACAAACUUGUGUUCCUUUCAAAAUAGUUCCUCUGACAAGAGAUGGUAGCUCAGGUUUGGGUCUCAUUUUUAGAGGGGACAACAUGACGCGUGCCCGUGAAGGGACGAAAUUGUCUUCCGAAGGAUAGGGAAGCUCCAUUAGAUGAUCGAGGUGCAACAUAGGGGUUCUUGGAGGUGGUUCAGAGUCCAGAUCAGUGACAGUGGACUUGACCCGAACAUAGGAAAAAUUAUUUUCCUAUGGUGAUUAAUAGUACUCAACAUAGGAAAAUAAUUUAAUUUAAUUUAAUAUAAUUGACUAUGUUAUGUCUUCUAAGUAAAAUAAGAUGACAACUUUUCCACCUUUUUACCAAUUCAACUGGUUCUCCACUGGUCAAACUGGCAGAUCCAGUUUACAAACACAAUCUGCUACCUUUGUUUGGGGGCACUAUUGAUACUUGAUAUAUAUCCGCAUUUUUCAUUUUUACGUAGUUCUCUUUAUAUGGUUUAUAUUUGUUUAGAGUUUUAGUUUCGUUUGUUUAGAGUUUUAAUUUCAUUACAAGUACCUAUGGAUUUGUUGGAUCUUAAAGAGGUUAAGAAUUUUAUUUUGAAAUUUUGGAAGAAUAUCACAUCUAAAUACUAUUGCUCAUUGUUUUUUUGCUUGCAGCAAAUUUUUGAUAACAUAAUUAACAGAGACAUACAAUGGCCAAAGCAUCCUGAGGAGAUCAGCUUUGAAGCAUACGAUUUGAUGAACAAGUAAGCAUUAUCAAAGUAGAUAUGUAUUUUAUGGAUGUUUAAAAGCAAAUAUGCUUUGUAACUGCAAAAUUAAUAUGAACAUUCUAUUUGUAUUUACCUCAGUAAUUUUAACUCUAGGCAUCAAAGUCCUGGUAAAAAUUGAUACGUAAAUCCAGAGGGUUUGCUCAAUAUGUUUUGAUAGGACUAUGGGAGAGUAUGCUGAUGCUGCUGGUAAAAAUGGUGAUAGAUUAAGAGCAUAGUAAAUGAUUUGUAGAUUGAUUGUUUUUCAGUGAUUAGCAUGAAUACGAUAGAACCUGGUAGAUGUCCGAACCAUUUUUUUCAAAGGGCUUUGUUCCAUCCAGCAAUGCAUCCAGUAUCUUGUUGAACAUUUGUGACACGAACUCAUCAUAUCCUCUACCUGUAAGAGAAGUCGCUGUAAAGAUGUGGUUAGCAGUAGCUUACGAUUGAACACUAUUUGUUAGAACAAGCUAGACAAAUAUGAGAAAACAUGCUUUUGUUAAAUUGUAUAGAAACUUCUUUAAUUUUGCAGUGGCAUACAAUCCUCUUUUCACUUGAUACAUUAUGUUUCCUGUCAUGUUGAUUAUAGCUGACAGUGAAGUUCUCUUUCAGAUUACUGAUCGAAAACCCAGUCCAAAGAUUAGGUGUAACAGGAGCAACAGAAGUGAGUUAUUCAGUGCCUUUUGAAACGGAGUACUCGCAAAUUAUGGUAUUACAUAUACACAAUCAAAUAAUAUAUUAUUUUGUGCAGGUUAAACGCCAUGCUUUCUUCAAGGAUGUUAAUUGGGAUACGCUAGCAAGGCAGAAGGUCGUCAUUUUAAUUUUAUUUGAGUUUGAUUGGUUUGCGCCAUAUCUCUUGAUUUCUCACACUUGGGAUCCAACCAAUUUUCUGCAGGCUAUGUUCAUACCAUCGGCUGAAGCUCACGAUACAAGUUAUUUCAUGAGCCGCUACAUUUGGAAUGUAGAGGAUGAUGAACAUUGUGCUGGAGGUAGUGAUUUUUAUGACCAUUCUGAAACAUCCAGCAGUGGUUCAGGAAGCGAUUCAUUAGAUGAAGAUGUAAGAAUAAUUUUUAAUUUGAUUUUCUUGAUUUUAAGUAUAUGAUAAUGUGUUUUAAUAUAGUUUGAAAAAAAAGAUUUCACCUCAUGUCAUUUUUCUGUCAGUCCUCUUUUACCAUGAUUUUUCUGACAAUAUCUGGUUAAGCAGGGUGAUGAAUGCGCUAGUUUAACAGAAUUCGGUAAUUCAGCUCUUGGCGUGCAGUACUCGUUUAGUAACUUCUCAUUUAAGGUAAUACCUAUGAUGCUUGUCCUCAUAUUUUGUAAAUAUAAUCACAUUAGGCCAAUAUUAUUGUAUUUUGAAGUUAUCCUAAAUUACUUUGUUUAUUUGUUUGUACUGUUCCACAUGGAUUGACAAAAAAUAUCUUAUUACUUUUUUGCUUACAGAAUAUAAGUCAGCUAGUGUCUAUCAAUAUGAUGCAUAUCUCCAAAGAAACACCGGACGACUCCAACCCGUCGUGAUAUAGCAGAAGAGGUUUGUAAAUUUCUCCAAGCAGUGAGGUUCAAUUUGGCGAACUUCUUAUAGAAAAUAGUAUGAGCAUUUUCAGUACUACCACGGAUGCUACAUCCACGCAAUUACUAUAAUAUAGUAUUGAUACCAUUUUAGCAGUAAUGCGACGUGCCUCUGAAAUUCAUUUUUGUUUUCUGCUGCUCUAGUUUAGAAAUGACAAUUAUUUUCUAUAGGACUCAAUAGAGUGAAACAGACACUGUAAUGUCUUUCACCCUUUGCUGAUAUUAGAGUCUUCUUUGUAAAAAAAAAAAUGCUUCUUAAACGUUCUUGAUUGAAUUAUUUCUUGUUCAUUUUAUAACAUAAAGGACUAAAUUGGAACAAAAAAAAAAGAUAAAGGACGACAGUGUUACGUGAAAUUAAGUUAAGAAAUAAAUUGUGUAAUUUUGCCUUUAAAAAAUAAAUUUUUCUUCAAAAAACUUAAAAAUUUAAUUUCUAUUUGUAAAUCUUUUAAUAAGUGUCCUUAAGUUAGAGAGAUUGCUUCAUAACCCAAAAUCUUCUCUUCAAUGAAGAAAAUGAAAAAAGAGAAAACUAUGAUCGACUUGGUAAUGAAAAAGAGAGAAGCAUAGUCAGAGUGAGAACCUAAAAAUACCUCUUAAAAUGAGACUCAAAUAUGUUCCCUACCUAUAUUGAACAUCAUUUCAUGUUCAUAUCUUAGUUUAGCACUUUUCCAAUUUAGAUUAUUUAUCAUUGUAUUAUUUAAAUUAUUAACACUUCUUCUUAUCUUAAAUAUAAGCAAAAGAAAAAAUCAAACAAAAAUGAUGUAUCUGAUUAAAAAGUUGAACCAUAAUAUCUAUUUUGUUUGAUUUUUUAUAUUUGAAACUGACGAUCGAUGUCCUUAAUUGGAUAGAUCAGUAAUGUACAUAUUAAUGCUAAAAUUGUAAAUAUAUGUAUAUAUCUUGCAUUAUUAGUGCUAUAAUUGUUUUGAUUAAAGCAAUGCACAAAUCAGAUUAAGAUGUUAACCAUAGGUAUUCCUCUAAAAAAAUGUUAACCACAAUUAUUGCACGUCUUUAUCACAAUUUUACCAUAAUAAACAAUAAAGGUCUACUAUGUUUCUAAAUCACAUCCUAUUUGUCGAAAUGAAUUUUGAGCAUUUUGGAUAGCAAGCCAAUUAAUCCAUGUGAACUUAACAAGCCAUUACCAAGACAGAAUUCUAGAGAAGUACAUAUUUUUAGAUAUCACAAAGCAAUUCACACACACCUAUAUUUCAUAUAGUUUGAGUGUGUCAGAGAAUUUAUCCAAGUCAUGGAAGGUUUAUUUUUGGGUUAACGGUGUUUUAGCCCCUGUAAUAUAGGUCAGUUUUGGUUUUCCUCCCUGGAAAAUAUUUUUUUUAUUUACCCCUUAUAAAAUAUAUAUUUUUUGGAAUACCCCCCUAAUAGGUCAUAAAAAAACGACUUAAUUUUUUUUUGGGCAGAAUUUUUCGUUUUUUUAUGACCUAUUAGGGGGUAUUCCAAAAAAAAAAAAAAUUACAGGGGGUAAAUAAAAAAAAAAUUACAGGGGAUAAAGCAUCAUUAACCCUUUAUUUUUUUAGGUACUAGGUCGCAAAGUUGAAGAACAAAUUUUCAACCAAAUAAUUAUAGGAUAGUUGACCUAUAUAUCACACAAUUUUUAAUUGAAGACAAAAAAUUCUUAUCAUUUUUCAUUAAAAAAAAAAAUUCAAGGUAGCUGCCUGUAUCAAUAUCUAGUUAAGGACUAGGCAUGAACUAGUGAUGGAAAUUAUAGAAUGAUAAUGGGGCUUUUUUACCACCGUAGCACUGCUAAAAUAAUUAUAUACUAAAAUAUCACUAUUUUUAAAUUAUAUAUACCAUUAACAUCAUUUUUUUUGACUUUGACAACUAUUCCAUUAAACUAGUGACACGUGUCUCUGAAAAGUAGGAGAGAAUGUUUUGGUUUUGUCUUUUAUGUAGAGUUCUAUUUCUUUUUGUUUUCAGAUUGUUUCUUUAUUCUUUCUUCUAUUUCAUUUUCUUUUUAUCGUUGAAAGUUUUUAAAUUUUUGUUAAUUGUUUCGUUAUAUUAAAAAAUGAUUAAAGUUGUUAUUUUAUUUAAUCAUUAAUUGAAGUGUUUUAAUUAUUAAUUUAAGUUUUCUAACUAAUUAAAAAUAAAAAUAAAAUAUAUUUUUUGAGAAGUAUUAAUUAGAAUUUAAUAAAACAACCCAGUUGAGACUUAGGAGUGUGCUCCUCCUCGAGGUUUCAAGUUCAAUUCUCUCUGGUAUCAAUUUAGGUGGACUAAUUUAGCUUCUUAAAAAAAAGAAUUUAAUAAAACAAUGUUUCUUUUUAUUUCAAAAAUAUAAAUAAAGCUCCUAUUUUAAAAAAUUUUAAUUCUAAUUAAAUGAUUAAUUAAUUAAACUAAAUAUUAACUAAAUCAUUAAGCUCCAAAUUUAAUUAAACAAUUAAUGAAUUUCAAUUAAGCUCAACUAAUCAAAUUCAAAUCAACUAAUCAAAUCUAGAACACGGAUUAUGCUGGCGUAAGCGCUUACGUUAACAUUAUUUUAUCGAAAUCUCACUCAGCCAAUCAGAUUCAGAUCACGAAUUAAGCGCACGUCAGCGCUUACGUAACAUUAUCUUAUCAAAAUCUCAUUCAACCAAUCAAAUUCAGAUUACGUAUUACGUUGACGUAAGCGCUUACGUCAACACCAUCUUAUCUGAAUCUCAGUCAGCCAAUCAGAUCGCGUUUACAGAUUACGCUGACGUCAGCAUUAUCUUAUUCAAAUCCAAUAUAAAUAGAUAUUGUCCUCCUUAGUUCAUUACACAACAAAACUCAUCACUCAUCCUCUACACUCAAAACUAUCUUAAGAAAUUCAAGUCAUAGUCAUGCCUCCAAUAGAGUUUUUUGUCCAAGUAUAUUACAACGAACAUGUUGAAAGAACAGACACAGAAUGUGUUGUAUUUUCAUGCAAUAAUUCAUCCUUGCUUAAAGUGAAGAAAAACAUCAAAUUGGAAGGACUUAUCCAAUGUAUCCAAACAAAGAUUCAACCAGACAACUCCAAGAGGGUGGUCGAUCUUGUUUAUCGAUACCCUACAACUCUUUCACAAGGACUUGUUUGGUAUGAGUCAUUGAAUCUUGCAUGAGAUGACGAUGUUCAGAUGGUGUUUGAGAUGUUCAUGACAUGUAAACAUCUUGGUAUUUCAACAAUGCAGGUUUAUGCAGGUUUGGUGGAUGCCCCUUGUGAUGAAACUCGCGUAGAACCACCAUAUAUUGAACCAACACCCUCUUCAUACCCUCAUUCCAUGCCAAGUUCGUAUCCUUUUAUCGAAACACAAACCAACCAUCACUCCAUGCCCUCUUCAUCAGCACAUCGGUCAUCCGAACCCACCCACAACAUUGACCUCAACUCACCAUUCCAUCUACACACCCCAAAUGAUGUUGUUCGUUCCAGUGUUGUCGCUGGUGUCCAUAAUGAAGAAGUUGGUGAUUUUAGUGAGAAUGAAGAUGACAUUUUUACCCAACAUGCCAUCAACGACGAUGAGGACAAAGACAUGUGUUUUUUUUUACCCUCCCAUACACUUUUGUAAUGUGAACUUCAACGAUACCAAAUAUGUUGAAGAUGAGUUUGUACACUCUAUGUCCCGAAACCAAUCUUUUGUUGUUCCAGACCCUGAUAACUUACAAGAGGUGAUGCAAUUCCCUACGAAAGAAACGACAAUGCGGUGCAUAAAGGAAUACCAUAUGAGUCAGGCCCCAGACUUUGUGGUUGAACACUCGGAUACCAAAAGAUGGAUUGUACGUUGUUCCAAUGAUAACUGUAUGUGGAGAUGUAGGGUUAUAGUUAGCAAGAAAUCACAUGUCUAAAAGAUCUCAAAACUGCAUGGUCCACAUACUUGUGCAUCAGCAAUGGUUUCGCAAGAUUACAGACAACUAUCCUCAGCUUUCAUAUGUCAAAGCAUCCUACAAAUGGUAAAGGAGGAUCCUACAAUCUCAGUUCCAAUGUUAAUUGCACACAUACGAUCGAAGUACGCAUAUACUAUUACUUACAGGAAAGCAUGGCUUGCAAAACAAAAGGCUAUAGAGAUGAUAUACGGGAACUGGGAGAAAUCAUACACAGAACUUCCAAGUUGGCUCCUUGCUCUUCGACAUUAUCUUCCAGGAACUAUUACUGAUAUCGAAAUGAUUCCAUUUAUUGAGUAUUGUCAUGUUGUUCCGGGGAAGGCUACCUGCAAACGUCUCUUUUGGAGUUUCAACCAUGCAUCGAAGGAUUUGCUUAUUGUAAGCCACUUGUUUCAGUUGAUGGUACGUGGUUGUAUGGUAAGUAUCAUGGAACAUUGCUAAUUGCAAUGGCUCAGGAUGGGAGUAACAAUACCAUUCCGAUAGCAUACACUAUUGUUGAGGGUGAGACAUCUGAUGCAUGGAUUUUCUUCCUCCAACGCUUGCGAUUAUAGAUCACACCCCAACCCAACUUGUGUUUAAUUUCAGAUAGACACGAGUCAAUCAAAAGCGUUGUUAGGCGUCUAGACAGUAAUUGGCACCAUGUCUUCUGCAUUCGACACAUAGCUCAAAACUUUUUGAGGACUUUCAAGAACACAUAUAUGAAGAAAAAAGUAACAAAUAUGGGUUAGUAUUUUUUUGUAUACAAUAAUGCAUAUAUAAUUUACAUUUUUAAGUCCUAAACAACAUUAAUUUUUUACCUUCAGUAUACUCAAUGACUCAACUAAGCAUCACACUCUACAGGAACCAAAUCAGGGAUUGGUCUGGUGAUGCUGUGAAGUGGGUCGACGAUAUUCCAAAGAAACAAUGGCUACAAGCACAUGAUGAAGGGAGACGUUGGGGUCACAUGACAACUAACAUUUCUGAGUGCUUCAACAAUGUACUAAAAGGGGUGCACAAUCUUCCAAUCACGCCAAUUGUCCAGGCAACCUAUUACAGAUCUACUGAACUCUUCGUAAAUAGAGGGAGUAAGGCCCAAGCAAUGAUGGCAUCUGGUAAAGUUUACUCAGAUGUAGUCAUGGAUAAUCUUGCCAAACAACGAGCGAUAUCAAAUACUCAUCAAGUAUACAUUCACAAUCGGGGACAUAGCCUUUUCAGUGUUCAGGAGCUGGUUCGUCCACCAAAUGGCCGACCAACAGGAACAUUCAUGGUUCCUUAUAAAAGCUAGAUUGCGUUAGAGAAAAUAAGAGACAUACAAGCAUCAUAAAUUUAUUAGGAAAUUGACCAAUUUCCAACCAAGAACAACAAGCAUCAUAAAUUUCUCUACCAAUUAGAGGAUAAUUUUUUUUGAUAAAAGGUGGAUUAAGAUCAUCUGGCCCGGGAGACUUAUUUGGGUGCAUAGAAAAAGAAGUACAAUAGAAUUCAUCUUUAGUAAAAGGUGAUGUGAGAAAAUCAUCGUCGCUCGCAAAUAUACAUUGGGGCACCACUUCUAUAAUUUUAGUUUUACGACGAACCCUUCUAGAAGACUACACUUUUUAAUAAGGCAAGUUAAUUUUUUUUUUUUUUUGACAAAAAUAAGGCAAGUUAAUUAUUUCACACGUAUGUCCUUCUAAUAUUUUUUUAAUAAGGCAAGUUAAUUAUUUCACACGUAUGUGCUUUUAAUAUUUUUUUGGUGGUGAUAUGUACUUUUAAUAUGUUUCCUCUUUUUUCUAAAACAAAAAAGAAAAAACAAAAUAAUAUAAACAUUAUGUAUCUUGUGCGUACCAGAAUCUAUGAUGUAUUUCUCGCGUAUUCUGAACGUAUCUGAAAUGUAUCGGACAAAUUUUUUUAAAUAUAAUUUAAUCAUCGAAUGCUCUCUCGACACGUAUCGGGGCAUACAAAUAUGUAUCGAUGAAUAUCUUUAGUAUUUUGUUGUUUUUAUUUUUAUGACGAACUCUUUAUGGAAUACUAAAUUUUGUAAUAAGGCAAGUUAAUUAUUUCACACAUACAUAAUCUAAUAUGUUUUGAUCAUAUAGAUUUUUUUUUAACUUGGUUUUACUAUACUAAUAUGUGCAAUUUAUGGAUUUAAUUUAUAUAUUCUAUAGUUUAAAAUUACACUAUCAAACAAUCAUAAUUAUACUUUUAAAGUCAUACGCAUGAUUGAUUCAAAGGAACAUAGUCUCAAACUAACACCAUAACGACAAUAUAAGUGGGUUGAAGGCUCAAGAAAGAAAAAAAAAAAACAUAAGUUGGUUGAGAGGAACACACUCUAAGUAUAAAAUAUUUUACCAUAAUUAAAAACUCUUUCUUUGUUGAAAUACUUUAUAUUUUAUUUAUGGAGCAUAAAAUAUUUUACCAUAGUUAAAACUCUUUCUUUAAUUGAAAUACUUUAUAUUUUAUUUUUGGUAAUGUUUAAUUAACAUUUUAAUGACCCGUACGGUUACUCCGUGUCCAGUUCACACACGUAUGUAAGAUAAGGUAACGCGUAAAAUUUAUUUAAUGAAUGAAUGAACUUUUUUUGGUAAUUGGCUUCAUAAAUAUUUUAAUUUUUGGGAGGAAUUAUUGAAUAUUUUAAUGGAUACUUUUUAAAUUUGAUAAAUUAAUAUAUUUCUUUCCCCAUAUUAAGCCAAAAAUAAAGCACUGAUCGUGCAACGCGUAAAAUUCCUACGGGUGUCCUAUUUCGUAACAAUUAUUUUUAAAAGCGAUCCUCUUUGAUUUUUACUACGGCAGAUUCAAUUAUGACGAAUGAUUUGGGAGAAUUUCAUUUUACUAACCAAUAUAAUUUUGUUUGAGAGGUUCAUAAGUCAUAGCUCAAUUGAUAAAAAUGUCAAAAUUGUUCGGUUGUACGUCAUGACCGUGAUUCUUUGCCAUCUCGUUUAUCUAUAAAAAAAUAAAAGAAAUUGUUUGCGGAAUAAUUUUCAAAUUUACUAGUUUGGUUUAGAAAUAUUUUUUUAAUAGUUUUUUUGAAAACCAUAUUUUAGAUUUUUUUUGAAAAAUCAUUUUCAUUAUGAUAAAAAUUUGUUGAAUGACAAAAUAACUUAUUUAUUAUUCCUAAAAAGAAUAACUUUUGGUUUAUAAAGAUUUUUUAUUUAUCUUUCGUCAAAAGAGCGACUUUAGUAUUUACUUAUAAAGAUUAAAAGGAAGUGAAAAGUGACUAUUUAUAAUUUUUUUUCCAUAUUAUAGGUACAACAACAUUUCCACUGUUAUUUAGCGAUAAAUAAUUUUCACCAAAAAAUUAUACUUUUUUUCAACAUUUAAAUUCGCGAUCGAAUCCCAUGCUACAAAUUCGUGAUCGAAUCCAAUGCUACUUUUUGAAGGGUACAAAUUACUUAGUCGAAUCAAACAUUCAUUAAGGAGUUCUUAUUUGAUUGAAUAGUAUUUUUUUUUAAGGAAAUAGUAAAAUUAUUUUACCUAGAAAAUAUACUCUUGUUUGUUUUUUUAAAUAAAUGAAAUGACAAUAAUUUUUUUUUUGAACAAGCCAAAAUAAAAUAUAUUACUAUCAAAAAGACUUCUUAUCAACACAAGGUGUGCGAAUAAAAACGUCAAAUUAUACAAGGUAACUAAUCACAAGGGAGUCGAAACACAAAGUGAUUAGUCGAUACCCAAAUUAAAAAACAGGUUCGACCACCACGAAUGAAGAUUUAAGCUAACAUUAACAUUAUCGACCUUCAUCCACCUAAAAAAUAUAUCUUUAUUUUUAAGAAAUGGUGAAUGUCGAUUUCCUUAUUCUUAAAGAUUCUAUUAUUUCUUUCAUGCCAUAGAACCCACACAACAAAGCCAAACAAACUGUAUAAAAUUACGGCGCCGUCGCGUACCUUCAGAAGUGUAAACAAACUGACUGAAAUAAUUAUUGAAAACUCGUAUACAAAUAGAAUAACCAACGUUUAAACCCGAUCACAGUAUUCGACAACAAAUUUCAAUAUUUUUACAUUAUGAUUUCUAAAAUAAAUGCACUCUUAUUUUUUUAGGGGAAAAUGUACUUUUAGGGGCACUCCAUUUAUUACCGUAUAUGCAGCAAACCGUGUGAAAUUGCAUUGAAUCCAUAAAUAAAUAAAUAAAAAGAUUCUUUUUUACAUUUCUCUAAAAAUGAAAAUUUCCCUUUAUAAAUAAAUUACCAUACACAUGUGGAAAUUCAAUUUUCCAAUUCAACCAACCAAACAACUCCUUAACACAAACAUCACUCUCCCUUGUUUUCCACUAUUUUCUUACGCAUCACUUUCUCAGCAAUUUCUACUCUUUUCUCUUCUCUAUAAAUACUAACAAAAACUAACCCAAUCAAAAUCAAAAUACUUCUUCACAAAUCCCUAAUCCCUAAAAUCGCUAAAAAAAAAUCCCAAUUCUCAAACCUCACUGUAAUGGGUGCCGUCGUUGAGUGUUUACCGUCGCCGCAACAAGCGGAGGAGCUGGCGGUUCUUUCACUGAACAAGCUGCCGUUAGGGUUCCGGUUCCGGCCUACUGAUGAGGAGCUUGUUGAUUUUUAUCUGAGGAUGAAGAUCAAUGGAAACGGUGAUGAAGUUUGGGUUAUUCGUGAAGUUGAUGUUUGUAAAUUUGAGCCUUGGGAUUUGCCUGGUAAGAGAAAAAAAUUCUAUCUUUAAUCGUUUCUUGAAUUUAGGUUUUUUUGUUUUGUGAAUGAUUUGGAAUGGCUUUGAUUUGGAUAAGUGAUUGUUGUUGACUGCAUUUUGAUUGUGAUCAUCUGUGUUUGAUAUGUAAAUUUAUAAGUUGUUUUAAUUGUUAAUUAAUGGCCGUAAUUUUACUGUUUCUGUGUAAUUUUGCAUGUUGAAUGAGUUUUUUUUUUUCGUAUGGAAAAAAAUUGAUUUUUAAUGGUUAAAUGUGGUUAUGAUAUUUGAUUUGAUGGUUUUGUUGAUAUGGGUUUGUGGGGGACUUUUGUUGUAGGUUUAUCAGUUUUAAUGAACAUUAGUUUUGUUGAAAAUUAGGGAAAAUUAAUCUUGAAUGGUUAGAUGGGGCUAUUAUAUUUGAUAUGAUGAUUUUGUUUUUGUCGAUCAAAGAUUUCAUGGUUUUGUUGAUGAUGGGGUUUGUGGGGGGUGGGGGGUUUGUUGUAGGUUUAUUGGUCGUAGUGAACAUUAAUUUUGGUAAAAAAAAUUACUUUUGUAUGGUUGGAUCAUGUGGUUAUGGUAUUUGAUAUGAUGAUUUUGUUUGUUUAGUGAAAAUUUUAUGAUUUUGUUGAUGAUGGGGUUGAUGUUUUUUCUUUUUGUAGAUUUAUCGAUUGUAAGGAACAAGGAUCCAGAGUGGUUCUUCUUCUGUCCAAUGGAUCGGAAGUAUCCGAAUGGGAGCAGAUUGAACCGCGCAACAACUAACGGGUAUUGGAAAGCGACAGGAAAAGAUCGAAAGAUUAAGUCUGGUGCUACCUUAAUUGGAAUGAAGAAGACUCUUGUUUUCUACGCUGGUCGUGCUCCGAAGGGGCAGAGGACUCAUUGGAUUAUGCAUGAGUAUAGACCUACCUUAAAAGAGCUUGAUGGCACCAACCCUGGACAGGUCUACUCUCAUCUCCUCUCUUUUUUUUUUAUUUUUUUUAUUUUAUGUUUGAUUUUAAUGACUGAUUUGAAGUAUUUGUUGUUGACUUUGAGUCAAUGAUGCUGGUUGUUGUAACUUGAUUCUAACUCUAUUUGUUCAUUUUGUUCCAUAAUUUUUCAAUGCACUUCAUUACAUCUACCACAACUCCGUGUACCUUUAUCUUAUCUUGUUCUUAACUAACGCGAAGCUAAUGUGAUUUAUGACUGCCUAAGCAAUUAUAGAUGUUAAUGAUGAUAAUUAUAUGUUUCUAACUUCUCAACAUGGUUGAUUUGACUUAUGCCAGAACCCAUAUGUCCUUUGUCGCUUGUUUAAAAAGCAAGAUGAGAGUCUUGCAAGUUCAAACUGUGGUGAAGCGGAGCAGACUACUUCAACUCCUACGACUGCCAAUUACUCUCCAGAAGAAAUACAGUCUGACCUAAAUCUGGUUCCUCUAUCUUCCUCACUAGCGACAGAAGAUGAAAGGCACCUAGCAGCUAUCCCUGAGAACUCCGAGGAAGCAAUGUCCCACGUUAUAACCACAGCUGAUUGCUAUAGCGAUGCAUGUAAUGCUUCUGAUGCACAACAUCAGAGUUUAGAAGUACCGGCUGCAGAGGUAAGAUGGGCUAACUGCAACUGAGUUUAAUCUUUUAUUUGUUCCUUUCCUUUAAUGUUUUAUUUGAAUGAUCCUUCUAUUGAUUUGAAGUCACUGAAUUUGUUGAUUUCGUAACUAUACUUGAUGUUAACUAUUUCAGGAAGAUCAGCUGUUAAACUUGGACAUAUUUGACAGCCCACGAUUUGAGCUUGAGCCAUGGGAUGAUAAGUUAUUCUCCCCAGCCCAUGCACACUUUCCACCAGAAUUUGGCCAUCAAGCCAACAAUGAAUUAAUUCAGUAUGGUACAAAUGGGACAGAUGUUUCGGACUUUUUUGACUCGUGUGUUAAUUGGGACGAGUUCUCCAGUGAGGCGUCUAUCAGUCUUGAGCUAAGCCCAAACAUUUUUAAAAUUCCGGAAAAUGGGUCGUGCAGCAACUCGGAUGUGGAAAUGGCCAAUAUGAUGGUUAGUAACAGCUCUGACCCUUUUUUUUUUCUUUUGCUCAUUCUAAAUUUCUGCCAUCAGAAUGCCAUUUGUUAGUUUCAGAACACAUAGCGGCAGUUCCAACCUUUUUCUGUUAAUGUUCUUAAGCUAAUUGCCUUCUCUAAAUGACACCUCAAAACACAAAUUUUAUUGUAUAUAUGUGGGCAUAUUUAGCUCUGAUUACUAAUACCAUGGGUUUAAUGUUAAUCUGAUUGUAUGUUGCAGAACCUGCUAGCAUCACAUGAUUAUCCCGAGGGAGUGACUCUGCAAAACAGUGAUGUAGGGUUGUUUCAGAACAAUUCCCAGAUGACUCUUUCUAAUGAUUUUAGCAUGGGACAAAUGCCCACUGUGGUAAAUGAAUAUGAGCAAAUGUGGAAUUCGGAUACUGUUGUCGAUGGCGGCACUGGAAUUGGGAUAAGGUCUAGACAAAGACAAAAUGAACAACCAGAUAUGAACCAGGUGAUGCAAGCACAAGGAAGUGCACCAAGGAGAAUACGAUUGGGAGGAUUUGUUGCGCGUUCCCUGGUUUCUGAGACGACGGAAGAUGGGAGUUGUGCAUCAGAAUAUGAGCAAUCGAGGAUUUUGGAUACUGUUGUCCUUGGUGAUGACACUGGUAUAAGGAUAAGGCGUCGACAAAGAAGAAAUGAAGAGCCAAACAUGAACCCAGUGAUGCAAGCACAAGGUAGUGCACUGCGUAGAAUACGAUUAGGAGGAUUUGUCAAGCAUUCCCUUGUUUCCGAGGAGACUACAAAAGAUGAGAGUUUGCAGGAGACGGAAGCUUCAGAAAACCAUGCUGCUGCUGAGAGUGCUUCCGUCCUAGAGAAGACAUCUCCCAUGUCAGCAAGAGAGAUCUGUGAGCAACAUGUUACAACUGCAGAAUCCAACUCGGGGUCGAAAAACUUUCUGUUGGGCAGGGUUCGGUGCACUUCAAAGACAUCCUCGAUCAGCGCUAUGCGGUCUACUGUUCUUGCAUAUUCUGCCAUUGUAAUGGUCUCGCUAGUAUUGCUUGUUAAUAUUUGGGGAUAUGUUAGAUUUAGAAAUGCUUGCUAGCCGAUGAUUCCUGUGUAGAAUUUGUCUCCAUUACUUUUUUUUGGGCUAGUUAAGGAGGCGUUGAGGGUUGGCUUUCCUAUAUUUGUCGAUAAGUACAAUCAUAUAAUAGUAUGUGCAUAAUGCAGUCGAUUAAGAAAUUUCACCGUUCAAUUUUUGUUGAAGUUAAAUUUAGCUCCCAUCUUGAAAUUUAUAGGAAAAAUAUAUAUACUUUUUUUAGAGGUGGAAAAAUAUAUAUACUUAAUGAAAAUAAAUAUAGGAUUAAAUUACAUGUGCAUCCAUAUUUUUUACAGUAAAAAAUAAAAUAAAAGGCUUUUUUUGAUAGAAAUAAAUAAAAGUACACUUUCAUAUUUUUAUCACAAACCACAAUUUUUCAUACUCAUUAUAAUAUUUCCAUCGUAUCACUUUCGUCCUGAUUGAAAUUUUUUCUAUUAAAAUAAAAAUGCAUAUAUUAAAUUUUCACAUAUUAUUUUUCUAACAUAUUUAACGUUUUUGUUUUCCGAUAAUGCAGGAUAUGACCAUACCCAAGUUCAAUUACUAAGCAAAGAGAGAAAAGUGAACUUAAGCACGUACAAUGAGGACUCAAAUGCAUACAAUGAUGGUGGAAUUCAUUGUUCAAGGGUACUCACAAUCUCCCUAUCACAACUUUGGUCCAACCAACCUACUAUAGGUUUGAGCCCUUGUUUUCACUUAGAGCACAUAUGGCUGAAGCAAGGCUAGGUUCUAGUGAUUCAUUCACUAAACAUUGCAUGACGGUGAUUCGAGAACAUUACUUGAAGGUGUAUACGUCGUCUUUGAAGUGGUCCACGACUCAAAUUAUUGGCCCGAGUAUAAAGGUUUGUCAAUAUGCCACAAUCCAACCAUGCGAAGGUUAAAGAAAGAUUUCCCAAACAAUAGUCGCAUUACGAUUGAAAUGGACGCCUUAGAAAAACAGUUAAGAUAAAUAUGAACUGUGUCGAAUGUCCGGUCAUAUCCGCAAAUAUUAUCCUUAGAAAAUUGGCUUUGCUACUUAGUUGGAAGUAGAUUUUUUUAGAUGUCACGAUUAGCAUCGUUCCAAUAUUCUUUGAGGCUCCAACAGACAAGAGGCUUCAACAGCAACAAGAAAUGGUUUUCUAUAAUGAGGUUAAUGUAGUUGGUGCAGACUCUAAUGGAUCGUGUUGGUCUAUUCUACCUUGCUAUUCAACAUUUACUUGCCCAAAUAAUAAAAUUGUGUUAGGAAAAUAAAAAUACUGUAGAAAUAUUAAACCUACAAUAACAGACACACCUUGUGCGAGAUGAAUCUCUCUUGGUGUUUAAUAUAAUCUCAUUUUAAUUUCUUAAAAAAAAAAAAAAAAAAAAGAUAAAAACAACUGGUCUAUAUUAGAGAGACCAAACACUUCAUUCAGAUGUUAAAAUAUAGUAUACCAUUACAAUCAAAAUCCUACCCUUUAUCUAUGUUUGGUGUUUCUGGCGGAGAAUAGAAGAAUGUUCAACUGAAUUAAGGCUUAAUACAUCCCCCAGUCUUUUAACUUAUUUUAAUUUCUCAGUUUGGUUCUUAACUAUUAAGUGUUUCAGUUUAGUCCCCACUAUGAUUGUCAUAUGUAGUUGCUUCGAGAAAUAUUGUGUCAAAUUCACAUAUCAAAUAUGAAAAUAAUCAAAAUGAACAACUUUAAAAAAAACAAAGAAAAUAUCACAACAAAACCAUGGGAAAAAAAUAGAAACAGAACGUGAACAAUUCAGAUGUAUCAAUCAAAGGCCAAUUUGGUAUUAUUUCCCUAUGCACUCAAUGUGUAAUAUAUAUAACCUUUCAAAUGCAUGCACUCACACAGUAUUAUACGAAUAAAAAUAUAAAGAACUGAUAAAAACUUUGGGAAAUUUACAAGGGAGAAUUAAAACUUAGAGAAAAAAAUAAUAAUGUCUAAAAACAUAAAACAAAAAUGGUGAAACUUGAAAGAGAAAAAUAUAUGGGAAAGGAUACCAUAAUAGUAACAAUCCUAUCUUAAGCUAUCAAACUUAUCUUUUUUUCGAGAGAGAGAACUUAAGCAAUCAAACUUAAUUUUAUAUCAAUUUAACGUCCUAAGCAAUAUAAAAAGGAAAUAAAUGAAAAACUUGAGGACCAGUCUCACACACACACAUAUAUAUAUAUAUAUAUAUAUAUAUAUAUAUAUAUAUAUAUUGAUUGUAGAAUGGUUAACGAGGAGUUUAGCUCAAUUAAUAGGUACAAUACAUUAUAAAUAAAGUUUGUGGUUCGAACUCCGAACAUCUCAUUUAUUUACAUUAAGGGCAAAAUUCUAACUACUAAAUUAUUUGAAAAAUAAAAUAAAAUAUCAAUCCUCAUUAUCUCGUAACAAGUCAAAAAUAUCUUCUUGAUAAAGGGCUAAUUGGAGGAAUGCUUUAAGAUUUUGCAUGAACUAAGAGUUCUCAAGCUCAAUAUGAAGAUGUAUGUCUUCAACAUUCUCUUUGCUACCGUUGUUGUUUCAUGGACGUAUACAUAUAUUAGAAAAAAUUAUAAGGUUUAAUUUGUGGACGAUUAUUAAGGAAUUAAUUAAUUGUGUUGAUUUUAAUAAUCUAAUCCACAUGACUGAAUUUCAAACUACCUUGACUUUAACAUAUUUUGGCUAAAAAUGCAAUUUCAAAAUUAUUCUAAUUUACUGGUUUAAUUUCAGCUUACAAUGUAGGAUUUUGAUUAAAAAAUAAUCAGUUUUUAUCAGAUUUAUCAACAUCAAGAUGUACACUCUCAUUUGGUGAAGAAGUUGGUACUACGACAGCUUUUGAUUGAGACACAAUAGGCUGAUCAUCCAUGCUUGUUGAUAAUUCUGCUGCUGCAACACUUGUUUGAGGCAAACGUGGCAUUUCAUUCCUUUUACCCCACAAAAAAUAGUACAAUCCUAUUAUAAUCAAAACCAUGCCUAACAACCUGCACACAUAGCUUCUUGAGUUAGUGAUUCUUCUAAGCUUGAUUAUUAAAUAAAAUGAAAAUUGUUAUAAUAAGAAGAGGGAAAAAUAUUCAUACGUUCCAACUUUGAGUGGUUCACCAAGUAUGAUAGUGUCAGAUAUGGCAACGAAAACAAGAGCCAAUGGAUUGAACAUUGGAGGGAAAGUAGGUCCCUUAAUUUUAAUUGCCCAUGUUAGUAAACAAAAUGUAGCAGCUGUAGCCAAUGCUCCCUACAUAAUUCAAUCCUACUCAUUAGUGUUCAUGGUCCUCAAUUAGAGUAUACAUUCUCAUAACAAAUCACAAAGAUAGCUGAAAAUGUGUAGAAAACAAGUUAUUGGUGAAAGUUUCACAUUGAAUAAUAUGGCUUCAAUCAGUGGCGGAGAUAGAAAUAAUUUUCGGGGUGGGUCAAUUUGUGCUUUGUUCAUACAUAUAUUAAUAGCAAGAUUGAAAAAAAAAAAGGUUGUUACCUUUAAUGGUAAAGAAUUAUUAAAGUGUUGCAGUAUGCGCGGUACGAACCUUCAUGGUCUUUUUAAUUUAUUUUUAAAAAAAAUCGAAAGAAAUUAAAAAGAGUGUCCCAACAGAAGUUGAUCUUAAGACGUGCAAAACCUUUGCCAAACCGCUGAAACACACUGCAUGAUUAUUACUUCUAACGCAACAUAAAAUAUAUAAUAUAACAUCAUACUAUAAUUUUUGUAUAUAUACCUAUUAAAAAUGAUAUUUUUUAGGGUUUGGGCGGGCCGUGGCCCAUGAGUGGCUCCGCCACUAGCUUCAAUAGUAGUUAUAAAAGCAGAAAUCUCAUUAACCAGCUGAUUUUGUGAUGUUGAGUUACUAUGCACCUAAAUACUAAGAGCAGUGCUAUAUCUUUAGAAAAAUAAUAUCAAGAAUUCUUCAAAAUAAGAGCAGUCAACCACAAUGCACUAUUUGCCACAAUUCAAGGAGGUGUGACUGAAAAAUAAGAAGUGUACAAAUAAAUCAUGCAAUUAAAACUUGUCAGUGCUGGAAAUAACAUUUUCCAAAUAUUAAUAUUCAAAUUAUCUUAGAUGUCCCGUGUUUAGCCACAAAAAUGUAUCCACUUGUCAUUACACUACCUGAGUGGCGUUUUGGAUGUCAAUUCUAAAUGUGAAUUGACCAAAUAAAGUUUUCAAAAUUUAACCAAAUAAUUAAAUUCAUUUUGAAGCUAGCUAAGCAUAAUUCAGCAAAUGAUCUUACCGAGUAUAGUAUAGUAAUCAGCUGUAGAUUCCAGUCUAAUCUCCAAGCUUCUUUACUUUGAUUUAGGCAUGCGCCUAUUGUUGCUGAUUGAAUUGCGGCCAUAACACAUGAUAGCAUUAUUCCCCAAUACCUCAAUGGAAAUACUUUCACCAAUUUUACCUGUUUAAAUUCAAACAAAACAUGCAUACUUGGAUAAUAAUAACAUAUAUUUUGAGCCAUAAUAUGUUUUAACGCUCAAUUGUAUUUUUAUAUAAGAGUUAAGCCGAAAGAAAUCAGAAUCAUCUCAUUCAAGUGUUCUUGGCAAUCAAUAAAAAAAGAAAGUGAGAGACAUACUUGAAGAAUAAACCAAGCAGUGUAAGAACAGCAUGCUCCAACCAAAAAGAAAGUGCCACGAAACAUGUGAGUUUUGUGUGCUGCAACAGCACUAAUCUCAGCAGAAUGGUGACUAUGAUGAUGAUGAUGAUGAUGAUGACCAAUAUAAAAUUCCUUCCCUUUGUAAAGACUCGUUGCUAAUGCUCCACCAACACACAUAAUAGCUCCUAUACACUUGGCUCUACCACCCCAUGUUCCAAUCUUCAAAUUCUCCAUUCUGCAAUUGCACUCAUCCAAAAAUUUAUAUAUUUGGAAGAUUAAUUUAUUUAUGUAGUUAAAUUAAAUUAGAUUAUAUACCUGCAUAUGAUAGAAGUUAAGAAUGUCAAUAUAGGAACCAAGUUGAGAAAGUUGACGGAAUAAGUAGCAGUUGUGUCUCGAAGACCGUAAUAGAAUAACCCUAGAGCCAUUGUCAUCCUGCAUACAUAUAGGUACCAUCUUAAGUUAUCAAAUAAUAUUAAAAAUCUGUGAAUUAGUCACAACUAUAGUUUAAAAGAUACAUUGCAAGUUGUUUAACACUAGUAGUGUAUAUUAAAGUUAAACUUGUGUGAUAAAUGUUUGUGGUAAAACAAAGUACCCGCAUGCACAAUUAUAAUGACUAAUUCUUUAAAGUAAGUGAGAUAUAAUUUUAUCUAAUACUUGUGCUACACUAUUUUGAUAUACAUUUCCAAUUUUAUUUAGUACUACAUUUGAGGUUUUGUUAGGACUGUCAACUAGUUCCCUUUCCUAUGUCUAGGAUACUUGAAACAUUUAUUGUUCUACUUUUGUUUCCUUAAUUGAUGUUAUAUGAGAAACAUGUUGGCUGUAAGAAACAUAGCAUAGCAAAUCAGGAUGUUGACAUGGAUUAGCAUUUCAAGAUAAAAUAAUGCUGAAAAUACUAAUUAUUUUUUACAUGGAAUAUUUUUCUUUUAUGGUGGUCAGGAUUCGAACCUCAAACCUUACAUAUAUUAUACAUUGUCCAUAUUGAGUUAAACUCACGAGGACUUUUACAUUGAAUAUUUACAUGAGAAGUCAACAUAGCAACACUGAAAAUAAAUGAGUGUGGAUUCAUUGAUUACUAGGAUUCAUUGAUUACUUUUCUACCUUAUGUACCACUCUAUGUUUUGGAUUCAUUUAUUAGUUUCAGGCGUACAGUACAGUAUAUGAUGAGAGUGGCAUAUAACCAACGAUCUCACACAUAUAUUAUAGAGGUUCAUUUCCAAGAGAGUGUUUUAAUCUAGUUUUAAAAAAAAAGGAAUAUUAAAACCAAAAACAAAUAAAAAUAUUAUGCAUACCCCACGAAUCCGUUAAGGAAAAGCCAGAACCAAACUCUCCAAUUGAACUUCUUCGCCUGUCCUCUGCAACCAUAAGUAACCAAUAAAUAUCAUUUCACCAUAACAAACAAAUUGAUCCAACGGUUCUUUUUUAAGAAUACAUUUAGGCACGGAGAUAAUAAUAAUAAUAAUAAUAAUAAUAAUCUUGACAAAAAAAAAAUGGUUUUAAACCAUACCUGCUUGACAUUGGUCUUUGGUGCUUUAAGUGUAUUUAGACAAUAGAAAAUAGUCGAUGAAUAAUUAAAACAAUAAAUUAUUCGAAUAAGAGAGAGGUUGGUUAAAAGAGAUAAGAACAAAGACAUCAAGUAUCAAUGACAUCCUUGUAAAAUCUCUGCUUGGAUUGACUUAGACUUUGUUUAGAAUAAAAUAGCUAAUAUGCUAAUAGAGAAUAAUCUAGCUGGUUGAAUUUGUAGUGUUUGAUAAAAUUAGUGGUUGAAUUAACUUUUAAGGGCGGUUGAAUUAACUUUUUUUUUGAGGGAAAAUUAACUUAUAAGUAUGAAAAGAUUAAAAAAAAAAAAUCAAUUAAGGUUAUAAGGGUAAAAUUGAGAUAAAAAUCAAAAGUUACAAGCUACUUUAAUUACCUUAUCAUAAAAUGUUAUAAGUUAGUAAAAAUAAGCUAUAAACUCGUGAGAAAGGAACAUGAUCAAACAAGUCUUUUUCAAUGAAAUGUGCUUAUAAGACAUAAAUUCUGAACUUAAAUAUGACUUACCAAAUAGACCUUUAUAGCGGUUAGAUGAUAGGCUAUAUUAUAACUAAUAACAGAUAAGUAGGCUGGUUGAAUUUGCAUUAUUUGGUAAAAUUAGAGGUUGAUCUACCUUAUAAGUAUGGAAUGACAAAAAUCAUUUAUUUAAUCUUUUUCAACUAAGAAUACAUGGGUAAAAUUGGAAUAAAUAAUGAUAAGUUAUAAGCUACUUGAACUAGCUUAUAAAAAUUGCAAUAAGUUAGUAAAAUAAGCUAUGACUUCAUGAGAAAGUGACGGUUAUCAAACAUGUCUUUUUUAGUCAAAUGAGUAUAUAAGACAUAUGCUAUAAGCUCAAAAAUAAGAUUUUCCAAAUAGAUCCUUAGUGGUGUUGGUUUAGUUUCUUGAAGUGUAUUUCUCCCAAAGUAUAAGGUUGAUUUUCCCUGAUACCAACUUUGAUGGCUAAACCAUUCAGAGCUUUGUUUUACAUAAGGGCUAAUAAAUGGACGGUGAGAUUUUAACAAUCGAAUUACUCGAUCUCUAGGUCAAAUACUAUGUUAUAUUUAGCUGGACAUGCACCACUAUCUGCAUGAUUGCCACAAAAAAAUAAAGGGCUGGGAAAAAUUGAAAUAAAAAAGAUAUGAACACAGAACAAAAAGGGAAGUAAAGUGCAUGGGAAAGAGUACUAUAUAUACUAGGUAGAUUAAUGCAACAAUUUGCAAAUAAAAUAUAGAAUUGAAAAUGAAUUACCUUUCAAAAUAGAGUGCAAAAGGAGCAACACAAAUAGCAGCAACAAUAUGUCGAUAAGCAAUGAGUGCAAAAAUGUAAGUCCCUUGAACCAAAAUGACUCUUGAUAGAAGUUGCAUCCCAGUUGCAAAUAUUUGCACUAAUAACAUACUAAGAAGUGCUUGUGAUGAUUUGAACCAUUCCUUCAUACUUUCAAUUCUCUCUGUGUUUCCCAUGUUUCUUAUCUUUGUCUCUAAGGAAAAAAUAUGAAAAGAGAAUAAAUAAACUAUUGGUGUUAUUAAUAUAUAAGAAGAAUGACAAACUAUAUAUCUACAGUGCAGUGUUCACUGCUCAAGAAAUAAAUGGUGGAAAAUAUCAAAAGAAUUGGUCCUGACUCCUGAAUAGUUUGGCUAUGUAAAAAUUAACCAAAAGUCAGUUGUAGUAAUAAAUGCUGGAAAAUAAAUUGACAAAACAGGUGCCAUGCAUUAGAGUACAGGAGAACUCUUUGUGUCACACUAUGGUAAGUUAUGUGUCGACAUUACAUGUUGUUCUGUGUCAUUCGUGGGAAGAAGGAUACAAGAAAAACUAUAUAGUACCACUUUGAAAUUAAUUUCAGAGGAAGAGAGUACAGACUAUACAGUGCCCUACAAAACCUGUAUAGUACCAAGAAAAACUUCUAUGUCAAAUGCAUAAAGAAUGAAUCACUUAUGUAAGUUAUGUUCAUUCAAAAAUUAAAAAAUAGAAGACACUGAUUAUUGAAAAGUUUUUAAUAAAAAAAAAAGUUAACAUUAAAUUAAAAUUAUUUUUAAUGAUAUUUGUACAACUACUUUGUGACAACUUUCUCUCUCAUACUCACAUUAUCCUCUUAUUCCCUCUCUUCAUUUUUCUCUUUCCAUUGUUAUUAUCCAAUAAAAAGAGAGAAAACAAAGUUGUCACCAAAAAUUAUAUAAAAUAGUUGUUUAAAUAUCACUGCUCUUGCCGCAUUUUUUUUUUUUUUUUGAAAGACUCUUACCACAUUAUUGAACUCAUGGAAUUGAGACUAUAAAUUUUGCUUAAACAUGGACCACACCACUAGAUCAAUAUACACUUAUUAAUCGGCAUUCGGCAUCAGCAUAGAAGCUUGGAAGUGACAUCAGCAUAGAAGCUGUUAAGAUUGUCUUGCAAUUGAGUUUUUUUUUUAAUCAGCAAAAUUUUAGUAAACACCAAAUCCUUGUACAACGAACAGAGAUUGAUGAUACAGGAAGUAUAAUCAAAAGACAUCGCAUAUAGACGGAAUAUUAAAAAAUAAACACCAAUAAAGACACCUCUACAAUCGACACUCAUGAAAAUAACAUCCACUAAAAUAAACACUUAAAGUUACUCCUAUACAACCAACCACCGAAAAAUAAAAUCCAUAACAUUCAUGCCCACUACUCAUCCAAAAGAACACUUUUAUAAGUACUUUAGAUUCAAGUUAUAAUGAAUUGUCUUCUAAUCUAUUUUUAGAUAGAUAGUUACUUCAAAUUGGCAGCCGGUUCUUUUGGGGUUGAGAAGCUUUUAGGGGUUAUCCACUUAUAAAAAUGAUACUCGAAGGUUUAGAGGUUGACCUUGAAAGAUCGUUUAUUAAAAAAAAAAAAAAAAAUGAAGAAGAAAUUUUUAUUUUUUUUUUAAUAAAAAAAAGAAGAAGAAGUUGUUUAAAGUUUAUAAAAAUCUUUUAUAUAAAAAAAAUAGAAGUUGUUUAACAUUUAUUUAUCAAAAUGAAAAUCACUUUUUUUAAAAAAAUAAAUGUAGAAAAUGAUUUUUUAAAGAAUUUACUCAACAAUUUCUCAUUUCAAACAAUUGUUAAGAUAAUUUUUAUAUUUUCAUUAUGUUAAGAAUUUCUAAUAGACAUCUAUGAUUUUUCCCCUCAAAAAACAAACAUACAUAAACUUCUUCUCUUAAAAAACAUACAUAAACUUCUAAAAUUAAUUAAUUAAUUACUUUAAAAAAACAUACAAAAUAAAGUGUAACAAACUGGUUAUUAUAAAUAACUACGUACCCACAAGUUAAAUUAAGGGUUCAGAGUAUACCAAAAUAAAAAUAAUAAUUGAGGGUUCAGAUAAUUAUGUAUUUAUUAUUUUUUUGACAAAAGAUAAUUAUGUUCUUUUUUUUUUUUAAAAAAAAAAAACUGCACAUGAUGUUUUAUGCGCUUAUGUCACGCCCAUUUUUGUGCUUAUGUCACGCUCUUCUGUUUAAAAAGCUAAAAGCUGAUUUCUCCACGUAAUCCAUUGUUACAUGAUUCACCUCUUUAAUCCUUCAGUUCCGAUCAUUAAUUGAUUUAUGCACCUAACAUCUGUUUUAAAUUCAAAGAGCAAUUUUUUUUUUUCUUACUCUAAAAAUGAAAUAGUUUUUGCUUAAUACUCCAAAAUUUCUUUUAGACGCUCCUCACUUCAUUAUCUGCAAACAUACUUGUACCAUUUUUGUACAUCUUAUUGCGUUAAAUUAUGUUCAAAUUCUUUUAUAUAAGUAAUAUUAUGUUCAAGUUCUAGUACAUACAUACAUUCUAAAUCAAAUUUGUAUGAUGAAUCAAUAAUAGCAUUAGUUUAUACUAAUAAGCUUUGUAAAAAAUACUAAGGAUACAUGAAAAAAAAAUAUAUAUUAAUUGAGAGGCUCGUGACUAACCUCUUUCAAAACUCGUAAACUGAUUGAUCUGAAUUAGUUGAAAUCAUGAAAUCCAAUUAGCAAUAACAACAUUUCAUCAAUCUGUAAUACAAUGGUUUAGUUUUAGGUCUUAUUCGCAAUGUAAAAUAAACUCCUCAACUAUAUAUAUAUAAAAAUGAAAGAAGAUUAUUACUAUUAUUAUUCAAUUAAAAAAACAAAGUGAAUACCGUAAUACCUUGAGAAUAUAGGCUGAAGGUCAUUUGCAUGAUCUCUUGAUUUUGUAACUAAUCAAUACAGAAACUAACACAUGUAUGUACAUCUCGUGUGGGUAUUGAUAACAAUGAAUUUAAUUUAAUUGAAGAGGGAAGAUAUUUACGUAGCAAUCAUAAUAUACGGAGAGGAGGUUUUAAAAUUCCCACCUUCCAAUCACAAGUUUGUUACAUGAUCAAAAUCAUGCUAAAAUAUAGUAAGCACAAAUUAACAAUAAUUCACCAAAAUAAUAAAAUAAAAAAUCACCAAAAAACAAAAGUUAACAACCAUAUGGAGAAAAAUAAGGUCAAUCUGAGUCACACACACAGGGUCAAGGUCCACUUGUAUUUUCAAUUGACAUGGUCAUUUUUUAAUGAGAUGGUCUAUUCACGUACCAAACAACCUCUUAUUUUCUUUCAAAAAAAAACUCUUAUUUAAUCCUUAAAAAAAAAAAAUACACAACCUAUUAUUAUUUGAGAGAUUAAAGACCAUGCAUCAUCAUUGUAAAUUUAUUUUACGUUGAUAACCAAUCACAGAUUUUCAAGACUUAAAAUAAAAACUAAAAGUAUUACAACAAAAAUAAAAAUUGCACUAAUUCAUCUUAUAAGGUGAAUUCUAGUCACUGGACUAUCUGAUAAAAAAUUAAUUUUUUUUGAAAAAGGUAGUUAUUAUGCUAUGGUUUGAUGUGUUGCGAAUCAUGAUUGAUUGUCGGUAUAAAACAAUUUUGCAAUGACAUAUCCUUUAAUCUCCUUAUAUAAUGAAAUGGUCUUUUUUUUUUGUUUAAUAAUUUAAAUUUUGAAUUAAUUUUAACUAAAGGAUACUAUUAUAUUACCCAUUAAAACUCUAGGUACAUAAGAAUUUUCUGUUUAUUCUUGUCAAAAGGAGUCAACUUAUACAUGUUUAAAUUUUGACAAACUUCAGCAAUAAUUACUUAAAUUCUAUGAAGCCCCGUUACAAAUAUGGGUGCGGGUAUGAUACAAUACGGGUACGCGGAUACGCGAAUUUUUUUAAAUUUAGGAUACGUUAACAAAAAUUUAUAAUAAAACUUAUAUGUAUGUAAAAUACUUGAAGAAAAUUAACAUUGAUUACUCUUCAUUAUUGUAUUAUUAUAAAAGUUAUAAUUUUUUCAAAAUAAUACAUGUGAUCAAAAUAAUUUUUUUUGAAAGUUUUCUUAUAAACCAUAUUACAUUUUCAUAUGUUGGGAUAUUGAGAGAAACAUCAUUAAAAGAAUUCAACACAAAUUUUAUCUAAUGUUGAUUAACUGAAUCACAUCUCUCGCUACAUUCAUCCACAAGAAGUAUAAUUUUAAGUGUUUCAUCGAGAAACAAUUCUAUUGAUGCAUAUCUAAAAUUGAGUCAUAUACAUCUAUAAUGAAUUUUUACAACAUUGUCUCACUUUUUUAGUCUUCAUCUUUUUCUAGGAUACGUGUCUGUGAAGUAUCUUAAAAAUAUCCUUGUGUAUAUGUGGAGUAUCACAUAAGUAUCCGAUAAAAUAUUUAUUAAAAAUUAAAAUAAUUAAUUCCGAUACUUCUUGGAUACGUAUCUGCGAAUAUCCGUGGAGUAUCGGUAUCCGAUACGUAUCCGGUACGGGCACAUCUCCGUUUUGGAGUAUCCGGACUUCAUAGCUUAAAUUUAUUUGCUUAUUCAAGUUAUAUUUUCACCCACCUAAACAUGUUUAAAUUUACUGUUGUGUUCGGAUGAAAUUUUAGACAAUAUUCAAAAGCUUCAAUUGAAUUCUCUUUAUUUCUAAAUAUUUUUGAUUGGAUAAACGAAUGGAAUUAUGCAUUUUUAAAGUUUGCUAAGCUAUUUUUAUCAAAUUUUAAAGAGCUGAGGGGAUCAAUUCAAAAUUUGAAAAAUAGGGAUCAAUUUACAAGAUUUAAGAAUUAUAGGGACCAAUUUAUAAAAUUUGAAAUAACUUUAAGGACCAAUUUGAGAUUAGUAUAAUACAGAGUAAGUAAUGAAUUUCAACUUCUCAAUUUUAUGUGGCAUUUGAAAUUCCUUAAACUUAGCUUUGAUAAAUCAACUAUCAACUACAUACAACAAAUUAAUAAUUAGGAAUGAAACUAAUUUUCAUAUGUUAGAAACAUAUGAAAUAGUAAAAUAAUAUACUAAAUUUAUCUUAUAAGUAAUUUUGAAAACAUAAAAAAACGCACAAAUAAUAGAUUAAUACAAUAUAUUGUACUAAGAAAAAAAGUAUUGAUAUUUGUAUGUGGUCUGGUUCGGUUGGUUUUGAAAAAAGGGAUCCAAAAUAUAUUCCAAUCAAAAGGUUGUCACAAAAACACAUUCAAACACAUCUAAUAAAUGUUAAUUUUGUGCAAUUUUCAUUUUUAUUUUAUUUUAAUCGGUUUACGAUUUUAUUUUAAACUUGUUUGAAUGUGUUUGUUCAAAAAAAAAAAAAAAAAACUUGUUUGAAUGUGAACACCCAUAACCAAUAAUAUAGCCUAGGGAACAAAGACAUACUCACUGAAGCAUUCAAAUUAGCUUGCGUGUGAUGAUAUUUACGAACCCGAAGGCAUUCACAAACACACAAUUAGCUCAUGUAUUAAGAACACAGAUUACCAUAUAAAAUUGUAUAAUACAUCUAUCUCAUUUUUAUAAAAUCGAUUUGUAGAGUUAGAGAUGUCACUUUUUCUAAAAUCUUAUUAAGAGGUAUAUCUUUUAUAUGUUGAAUAUAAAAUUUUCUCUAUACAACCUUUUAAUACCAUUUCAAGACCUUUUCCAUAUUGCUGAGAGUUUUGCAGAAUGCAUUUUUUUCCAUAUUGUGCAGGUUAUCAAGUCAUGAGAGUAAUGAUAUGGCAACGAUGGUUUGGUGCUUAUAGCGACACCGAACUGAUAAAGUUUGGGAUGGGGAGAUGAAGUUGAUCAUCACAGCAGUUCAGCUGGCAAAGGAGUUUCUGCAUCAGUGGCAGGCUGCAAGAAGUAAACCAAAUUCGCAUGUGCAACAUCAAGAACAACAUACAACACGAUGGCAGCCACCAGAACAUAAUUACGUCAAGUACAACUUCAAAAUUGAAUCUGGAACUCGACUCACACUCACAUAGUGACAUUGAAUCCUGACUAGGAUAAAACGUCAACAUAGGUUCAAAAUAAAUUUAUAAAGUUACAUACAUCAUUUAAUGAAUAAAUCUAAAAAUCAAAUCUUUGCUUAUAUUAAUGACCGGAGGGUGUAGUCUCAAAAUAACAAGAAUUUUCAAGAAGUUAUUAGUUCGAACGACAUUUGUUUUAAAAUAUAUAUGUACUAUAUGUUAAACCAAAUUCAAUUAUGGAUUAAUUUAGGAUGGGGGUAUAAAUAACAAACUACGGUAACAAAGCCACGAUAAUCAUAAACAAGAAAUUCAACCCUCUUCUAGUCUCUAAGGGAUACACACACCAACAAUUUGAUCAGUACUUAUAGUCCUUAACAUGAAGACUCUCUGAUGCACCAGCACCAAGUUUAGAGUUACCCUUGUAAGUUCCAAGAGUAGCCUCAGAAUUAGCCUUGGCCCUUGUCAACAAAGCUUCUUGUGCAGCCUUCACAUUUUCUUCUUUUCCAGACCAUGCCUUAAGGGUACUCUGUUGAAGUGCCAUUCCAAAAGAGAAAGAAAGAGUCCAUGGCUUCUUACCAUUGACUUGGUUAAUGGCGUUGAGGUUGACGCUGGCCUCUUCCUCACUCUGUUCACCAGAUAAGAAAACAACAGCUGGGACUGCAGCAGGUACGGUUCUCUGCAAAGCUCUAACGGUGUGCUCAGCAACAACCUCGGGUGCAACCUUUGGUGCAUCAGAUCCAGGGGUAACCAUGUUAGGCUUCAAGAGAGUGCCUUCAAGGAGGACAUGGUGGUCAUUCUAGGCCUUGUAGCAUGCUGCAAGGACCUUCUCGGUAACAGCAGCACACUUUUGAAUGUCAUGAGGUCCAUCAACAAGGAUCUCAGGCUCAACAAUUGGUACAAGUCCAUUCUCUUGGCAUAUGACUGCAUAUCGGGCCAAACCAUAGGCAUUCUCGUGGAUAGAGUGCUCAGAUGGCUCAUUGGGGCCGAUUUUAAGCACUGCACGCCAUUUAGCGAAACGUGCACCAGCUUCAUAGUACUUAGCACAACGAGCACCAAGUCCAUCAAGACCCUGAGUGGUGGUUUCUCCAUCAGUUCCGGCAAGCUCAACGGUACCCUUGUCAACCUUGAUACCAGGAAGCACACCAGCUUCGUUCAAGACAUCAACAAAAGGCUUGCCUAAAAAAAAAUACAUUCAUGUAAGUGUACAAGAACAACAACAAUGUCAUCAAUCUUAAUUCACACACGACACAUAGAAGCAAUCGAGAACAGCCUCGCCAGAAGGAAAACCACUAUUUUCCAUAAUCUCAAAUUGACAACACAUACAAGGCAUAAUGUACCAAUUGGCAUGUUAAAGGCCAAAGAAAUCAUAACAAUGCAUGUUCAAAGACAUUGGCAUGAUCAGGAAGCAUGUUGAAAACAAGAUGAUCAACCAUGUAACAAAAUUAUAAGAAAACGUGUUGAAGGCAAUUAGUGAUAUAAUGUGUACCAAACUUUAACAAGACAAAGCAAUUGACAUGAAAAAAGUACAUUUUCAAAGCCAUUGACAUAAAAAAGCAUAUGUUGAAAGCAAUUAAGGAUAUAUCAUCUACGAAACUUUUACGAUAUAAAUCAAUAGACAUCAAAAUAAUGCAUUUACAAAGGUAUUAACAUGAUAAUAAAACAUGUAUUGAUAAACAAUUGAAGGACCAAACUUUUAACACAAAAUGUUGUGAGUGAGUACCAGCAGUGGUGCUUUGGUAGAGGGUUUCCUCAGAGAGGAUUACUCCACUAAGAUACUGAAGGACACCAGGGGCGGUGAAAAGGAGUUCACGGAGAGCACGUCUGUUGGAUUCAACAUUCUCAACGCCGAUGCUAGCUAGGCGCUUUCCAAUUGUUCCGGUUGACUCAUCAGCAGCAAGAAUACCUUUUCCAGGUGUGCCGAUGUAUGCAGCAUUGGCAAUAAGCUCAUCUGCAAAUUCUUACAAACAUCAGUACCAACAUAAAUAUAAACCUUACAACAACAAUUAUAAUGAAUAAAUACCCAGAAAUAAAGAUGAUUAGACUCGCACAAAAUCAAAUUAUUAACAGUGAUCUAAAAUUUAUAAAGCAAAUAACUUAUACCAACAGUAUCUGAAGAAAGAUGGUUGAUUCCUUCUUGUUCAAGUUUCUCAGCUACGUCAGCCAUGUCUGAUGAUGAACGAACCUUGUAACCUAAUACUGCCAGUAACUCGUCCAUUCCACCACCACCGUUGUUUGUGUUGUUGUUUUGCAUUGAUUUGUUGAAGUGGAUAGAUAGAUAAGGAUUUAGAAUUUCAGUUGGAUCAUAACAAAAUGGGAUUUGUGUUUAUGGCUUUAAUGGGAUACAGAGGGGUCGUCCACUAUGAAAUCAUGAUCAUAUAUUAUAAAGUGAUGACACAAACCAAGUCCUUCAAGUAAAAAAAAAGUAGAAAACGAAAUGAAAAAGCAAAAUGGAUAGAACUUUUUAAAAGCAACAUUGACAACUUUCCAUCAAAAAACUUAGUCAGGAUUUACUUAUACUCUGUUAAAACUAUAUUUGAUUUUGAAUUAAUUUAAUAUAGAGUAUAAAUCACUGACUGCUGUUCAUAACGUAGCAAGAUAACCGCAAUCAAAAUAAAUAUAACUAAGAACCACCUCAUUUUGAAAUUUGAAUAGGAGUAAAUAGUCAAUUUCAAAUUGUAAGUUUCGUCAAUUACCCUCCUGAAAUUAACAAAACUUCAAUUACCCCCUGAAAUUGCAUAACGUUAAUCAAUUUACCCCCUCCGUUAAAUUUUUCUGUUAACUGUUUACGGUUAUAAUCAAUUACCCCCUGAAAUUUUGCACUUAUGUGCAAAAUGCCCCCUAAACUUGAAAAUUUAUAUUUUUUUUUUUAUCCUUCACUCAAAAAAUAUUAAAGGCAAACAAAUUAACAAUUAUUGAUCAUAUAAUAAAUAUGUAUGGAAUGUAUGUUUAUGCAGCUAUUGGUUAUAUAAAUCUUUAUGGAAGGUAUGUUACUCUCAUGUGUUUUAAAUAUAUACAUAUAUAGAAUUUUUUUUUUACAUAAGUUGGUAAUUAUGUUAGAGUAUGCAGUCAUAAAGUACACAAGUCUUUGAUAAUUGUGUGUCCAUAUGUUAAUAUGUGCAGAAGUAAGAAGAAACAAGGCUUGUUGAUAAAUAUGAAAUAUGAAUGAAAAGGCUGCACAUGACAAAACCAUGAUUUCUUUGGCAUAUAUUCAUUCAUUUUCUUGUGAAUAGAAUUUUUAUGACAAUAGGUACAAUAUACUACUUGAAGAACUAAAUGUAUGAUUUUUUGUAAGAAAAAAAAUCUAAAUUUUUAAGAUUAGGGGCAUUUUGCAGCAAAAUUUCAUGGGUAUUUGAUCAUAAUCGUAAACAGUUAACAAAAAAAUUGAUGGAGGGAUAAAUUGAUUAACGUUAUGCAAUUUCAAGGAGGUAAUUGAAGUUUUGUUAAUUUCGAGGAGUAAUUGACGAAACUUACAAUUUUAGGGAGGAAAUGGACUAUUUACUCAUUUGAAUAGUCUCAUACAACCUACAGAUAGACAAUUUGAACCCAGUUAGGAUCAUCGCGGUCACAUUAUUUCCAGGGUCUCAAAAUAACCCCUAUAUACAGUAAAAUCUCCUCCAAACAAGAAUUAACCCCUAUAUACAGCAAAAUCUCCGCCAAACAAGCUAUGCUCACAAAAACUCAAUAGUCCUAUUUAAUCCCGACUAAGAAUGAUACUCACAUUUAUGUUUGAUGCACAUAAACAUAUAUUUUGCCUCAACGGAAGAAAACCUAUAGAAUACUGGAGAAAAUACUCUCAAUUUUCAAGACAUUAGUUAAAACAACAUUCAAUUUCGGAUUAAUUUAGGAUGAGAAUCUAAUGUGUAAAUGAAGCCACAUAAUUUCAAAUUGAAAAAAGAACUUCACUUCGAAAUAGUGUUUUAUAAUAACCCUUUUGCUCGGGUUGGACCAAGUACACUGAACCUGAAAUUAUCAAAAGAACAAAAAGAAAACAAAAAGAUAAAACUCCAACCAAUUAUUCUGUCUCGCAAGUCAAACCACAAUACUCAAAAUAACAACAAAAUAAACCCUUUUUCUAGUCUUCAAAAGAGACACCAACUUUGACUCAUCAAUACUUGUAGUCCUU